UUGGGAUUCCUCCAUUUAGCCUAGGAAAAGUAUUACUACUUGGAAAGCUUUGCAUGGACGUCUUCUUACUGAUGAUCACUUUCAGCAUCAUGGAGUGCCUUUGGUUUCUAUUUGUUGUUUUUGUUCGAAUGCUGCCGAGUCUGUUUUGCACUUAUUUUUUGAGUGCCCAUUUAUUCAAGAAAUUUGGAAUUGGUUGUCACUCCUUUUUAAUCGACCAUAUGUACAACGUGGUUCCUUGGAAAAUCUUUUUUCAUCCCCUUUCCUUGUUGCUUUGUCUUCCUCUUCUUGCCGUUUGUGGGUGCUUGUUGUUUGUAAUGCUAUUUGGAGCAUAUGGUCUUUACAAAACAAGAUUCGUUUUGAGGGUGCUAAGCUAUGUAUGGCUCAUGUCAAGGCGAGAAUUCUUACGUUUCUAAAGAAUCUGCCUCUUUGGUUUUUUCUUCGGUCCCUUCUACGUCAAGUGCUCCUAUUUUUCAGACUUUAGGUGUUUCUCCUUUGUUGUCUUCUACCCCACAUUUCAUUCCUGUUGUAUGGAAACCUCCUAGGGUGGGGUACCAUGGAUCAAGGUGAAUGUUGAUGGGUCAUUCAAGUCUACAGGUCGUGCAGGUUAUGGUGGUGUAUUUUGGGACUCUCAAGGUAUUGCUUUGGGUGCUUUUGCAUCAUCCACGAAUUUUUGUAGUUCAAUUGUAGCUGAGGUUCUUGCUAUAAUUGAGGCUAUUCGAGUUGCCUGGGUGCCUGAACGCCAUCACAUUUGGUUGGAGACGGACUCAACUACGGUGAUUCACUACUUAAACUCUCCCUAGUUCUACUAUUCCUUGGUAUUUGCGUGUUGAUUGGAGCAAUUGCUUGUGGCAGAUUAGGCAUAUGCAUGUUUUUGUUUCCCAUAUUUUUUGCGAGGGCAACUGUGUAGCUGAUGCCUUAGCUAACUUUGGUGCAAAUCACGAUGCAUGUUACUGGUGGUCCAACGUUUCUUCAUGUGCAGCGUUUGCUUAUAUUUAUGAUCUUUCUGCUUCUACUAGCUAUCGUUUCAGAUGAUUUUUUUUCAUAUGUUUUCUUUGUAAGUGGGGUUCCCUUAUCAUGUUACUUGCUAUGUUAGUUCCAUCAGUGAGGUUUGACUUUAUGUCCCCCUCAUUUGUAUUUCAUUUUUAUCUUAUUAAGUUUAUUUCAAAAAAAAAAAAAAAAUUUAUACAAACGAUAUUGUGGGCUUGUAGAGUCGAUUCGAGGACCUUGAUCCUUGAGUGCUGGAGUAAAUGGUUGCUUUCCUUUUUGUUACUGUAAGAUGAAGCUAAGCAUAAUAUGUGGUUCAAGUUUGAGUUCCGUAUCAAAAACGUAGGUUUACUCCAAAUCUAGUAAGGGGAAUCUAUUCAAUCGGAAGAUAGCUCUCAUGUGUUACAUGACAUUACAUCUCUUUAUACAAAGUGACGUGCACCAAACACUUUGUACUUCUCUUUAUUCAAUAUUGAAUAUAGUAAAAUAUUACUGGCUGAGGUUUUAAUAGUUUCGAAUCAUCCCUCUUCUUAAUAAUAAUAAAUUUAAAAAGAAAAAGUUAUCUCCAUCAAUGGACUCUUUGAAUAAUUUAUUGAGUUAAAAGUCGGAGAGAAAUUACAAUAACAUAAUUCCAACUCUGAUUUCUAUCAAACUUAAUCCCAACUAGACUUAUUUUAAAGAACAGCUUUUAUCUCUGUGCAACUUGAAUUUCUUCAAGUAGGGUCCGUCUGGCGGCCAUGAUUCCUUAGCUCUUCACAUGUGGCACCAAUGAGAAAUGCAAAUGAAAUAAUGUGCAUAUUUAAAUUAAAAAAGCUAAAGCUGAUUUAAUCAAUCGAACCCUUACAGAUUGAAAGAAAUCAAAAUAGAAUCUCUUCCAAAAGAUCUCUGCGCAGUAGCUAUGAGCUAAGUUCAACAUAGGUGAAGGUCUAAAACAAUUUUCACUAGUAGAAAAAAGCUCAUCUACCACGGUCAAUGCCCAUGAUAGAUUGCAAUCCACCACGGGCACUGUGCCCGUUAGUAAUCUGGAUGUGAUAGAAAAUCUUAGUUUCUACCACGGACUAUGCCCGUUGUCAAAUGUGAAAUAAACACGGAUUGUGCCCGUGGUAGAUUGUGAUCUAACACCACAUUCAUUAUAGCCGUUGUGAAUUACAAAUUGACCACGGCUAAUGACCGUCAUAAAAAAAUUUCCAAAAAUAAAAAAAUAAUAAUAAUAAAUCAUUUAAUAUAUAAACAAAUUUACUACAAUAUAAUAAUUACAUAAACAAAUCGCAAAAUCAAAUAUUACAAACUGCACACUAAAGCUAACGAUGAGUUAUACUAGAAAUACCAAACUAUCCACAAAGUAUCAAAUAUGCCUCCAAUAACAAGAACACUUGAAGACUUCAGAUUUCUUUGAACAUCUCCAAACAAAGGACCUUGAGAGUGAACUAUUGCCCCUAAUACUUGAGCCUCAACAAUUGCUGACUCUCUAUUUGCAUGGACAUAAGCAUAUGGAUCACAAGAAAAAAAAUCUUGGUACUCGUAUAGGUGGAAAUAUACAUUUGAUCUCAAUCAAGAAAAGUGAAUAGAGUUUCUGCCUCUAAACCUUUCUACUCAUGCAUUCCUUUGCAAUUGAACUCUUGACAAAAUUAUAAUAAGAGGAGUCCUUGAGAAAAGAUAAAACACAUGAUUAGAUUAUGAACCUACUAAAUAGAGCCACUACGUAUAAUUCUGCAAAUAUAUACUAUACAAGAUUAACCAAACCAAUACCAUAAACAUAGAUUUUAUCUUUUUAUAAACCAUAAACAAUAGUGACCAUAUCGAAAGUAAAAUCUAAUAAACAAUAGAUAUUUCAGAAAUUGAAAUUAUAGAAAUAUACAGAGGACGCACCUGUAGAAGUUAAACAUAGAAUCACAAUUUCAUCAAUGGUGAAUUAACUGUGAUAAAUGUGGUGCUGUCUUGUAGUGUUUGCUCAAAAUUUUCUGAAAACAGUUGUAGCUCAUGAAAUUUUUUUCGAGCUAGGGUUUUUGAAGUCUGUGGAAGAAAGGACCAAGUGAGUUGAGAGCUAACCUCUCAUUCUAAACCCGAGACGGCUCACACAGAGCACACAUCUCACAAUAAUAGGACACGAAGACAAGGUCACAUAGUAAUUUAAAAAAUGCACGUGCACAGACAUGAUUAGAAUGAAAUCACUAAUCAAGAUACAUGAAGAUACCAGCUUAAAAUGCAGAUGCAUGAACAAAUCUGCCAAAACUAGAGAGGCUUGUUGUUAUAAUUUGGCAAAGCAAUCAAUAGCUUGAUCUCCACAAAAUGACAAUGCAAAAUGAGAAUGAAAUGAAAGCUUUGCAUUCUAAAUACUUCCUGAAGAUUUGUAGUUACAUACAAAUUUACGGUCCUUAUUAUAUACCAAGAAAAGGAAACACAAAACUUAUGGCCUUUAUUUUUGUUAGGAGUUUUUAGGAUGAGAAGCAAAACCCGUUUUAUUUAUGCCUAAACAAAUAAUUAAAUGCAAAUGGAAAUGCACUAAUCUGAUGUUUUACUUUUACCGUUUUAAAUUAAUCCCAAAAGUAAUAAGCUCACAUUUACUUGAUUUAUUUAAAAAGAUUGUUUCUGAACACACUUUUCCAUAAGUUGGGAGACAAGCACAAAAGAUGUUACUUGCUAGGCAUACCAAUUUAUUCAUACACUCCCCUUCCCGAAUUGAGCACCCUAAAUGUAAAGGCAGUUCACCAUUACUUUUUGUAAUGCCCUUCAAACCAAUAAAUAUUCUUUUACCCAAACAUAAAUAUCCCAAUUUUAUGUUGACAAGAACAAAUUAGUUCGAUUGAAAUAGAAGACUGGACAACAAGUAAAUAUUUUGUUUAGAAAUUUAUAAUUGAUCUAAGUCUUUCCUGUAAAUGAUAAUUGCCGAUCAUGGCCACUAAAUUUUGCAAACAUAAUUAUAAUAGUAUAUAUUGCGACACCUAUAGCAGUCUUCCAUGGCGAUUUUUAACAAAACGGUCACUAAAAUCGGGGAGAGACUAGACGGCCACUUGGUGGUCUAGGUGGCGGUAGGCAGCACGCUAGGCGGUUUCAAGUUUUUUUUUUAAUUAAGUUAAAGUGCAUAACCUAUUGACACACAUCCCUCUGAACUCAUUCUUUAUCUACAACGAAUCGUGAUGGAUGAGAUGAGAGUUGAAUUAACAAUGCAAGGCUUUUGAAUUGCUAAUUUGCUAACUGAAUUAGGAUCAGGUGGCUUUUCAAUUAGAAUCAAUUGUUUCAGUUGUGAAAACUGUUCCUAUAUAUAUAAUUUGUUAAUUUGCUUACUAAGCUUAUUGGCUUUUGAAUUGUAUAUUUUCUUACUGAGCUUAUUUUCUUUUAUUGCAUUUUAUCUUUUUUUUAUUCUCAACAUAAGUAUAGUUUUUUAGAGUAAAUAGGUAUUUAUUUAUAUGAUACAAUGAUAAAUUUACUUAAAUCCGCAAUCCACCACCCGACUAGCAUCUGACGUCUUUUGGAACCAUUAUAAUACUUAAUACUAAUAUCAUCUUUAUCAUUUUUGACACAAAACAAAACUAAUGAAAGUCACACGCUAUACCUACUAUAAUACCAUUCUUAUAGAUUUGUUAAUACAAUAGUAGAUAUAGACAACAUACACCCUUUAAAAAUGGUAAUUUCUUUAUUAGAUAGAAAAUAUAUCCAUUUGAGAGUUUCGAUUUAUACUAUCUGAAAAAACAUACAAGACAAUCAUUACCUUGUUUUUAGAAGGAUUGUUCUAUGUACAUGAGUAAUUUCAUGCCACUAAAUCAUAUGAGGCAAAGAUAAUACAAAAAUAUAUUCGGACAUGACAUAACCACCAUAGAAUGAGCAUAUAAAAAAUUUAUACCAACAUCUAAUUAAAUGGGUCAACGUAACAAUUUGACAGUCUUUUAUUUGUUCAUAACGUCUCUCCUUAGUUUUAUUUAAUUUUAGUAAGCAAUGUAUGAUUGAUGGUUUAAGCUGAAAUUUGGAAAACAAGCCUUUGUAUCCCUUUAUAUUAAUUGUUUUAUUUUGGAAGGGUGAGCUUAGCCUCACAAUGAGAAGGUAAUAAUGUGGUUUAAAUUUUUCUUUGACGAGAAUCAAACCUAAGACCUCUCUCACUUACAAGUGAAGAGGAAUAUCACUAGAUGACAUGUCUAGUAGUACUAUUGACAAGGCAAAAGUAAAAACUCAAUAUUUUUAAAUUGACCAAAAAAAAAUGGUAAAAUAGUUAUGGUAAUAGCGCUUGGGCAUCAGUUUACAUUGAACUUUACCACAUUGUCAUUCAAGGCAACGUACUAAAUUGAAGAAACAAACUACCAAAAGCAGUUUCUGAGCUUUUGUUAACUCAUAAACCUCACCAGUGCCCACUUUGUAAACACCUGCAGUGCCCUUACUAAUUUUCAUCUCUCUCUCUUUCUCUCUCUCUCUCUCUCUCUCUCUCUCUCUCUCUCUCUCACACACACACACACACACACACAGACACACACACACAUCUCCUGUGUUACCGAAGAAACUGACUGCAUUUUCCGACAUUGACUGACCCGCAAGUCACCCGGCUCCGACACUCGGCCAGGCCCGGCGGCGAGCUAAGCUGCCUGCAGUGAACCAUUUAACCUUUUUUGUAAGCCAUUCACUUAAUCCAUGCAUUGCAUAUAUUAGUGGUCACAUUUCAUUUUAUAUCACAAGGAUUUUCUCAAGAUAUGAUCAUUUGUUGCCAUUUAAACCACAAUUAAAUAAGCCAAUUUACACAGAUUCAGAAGAUAUGUAAUUUCUCAGUUACUCUGCAUUUUCCUGCUUUAAUUUGGUUUCUAUGUCAUUCAUGCUUUCCAUGUUUUCCAUGACACAAAACAUGGUUGGCCGUACCAUUUGUGGAAUAUCUGGUUUGCAUGAUUUCGAGCAUUAAUCACUGAGAUGCUGCACUGCAUUUUCCAAUCUCUCGAGGAAAAAUUCUCUUUAAUGUGUGUAUUUAUAUUCUGCACUGAAUGUUAGCUAGGAGGGAUUUGCAUUUCAGUGUUUCCGCACCCGGUGUUUCACACAAUGGGGAUGAGCUGAGAAAUCGGACACUUUCGUUGUUUCCACAAAACUUAUCUGCUAAAGGGUGACACCAGAGUGUUAUAUAGAGGAAAAAAGAUAAAUGAAACAAAGAAGUGGAAAGAGAGAGAGUUUGUAAAUUGAAGGGACUCAAGGAUGAAGUUUGGAGGGGGGUUUAUUCCCCAGGAUGACGAUCUACGAUUCAAGGAUCCAUGGGUACCUGUGACUCCAGAUAAGCUGAUUCGGGCAAAGCCUCGUCCAAUACCAGUCGACCCCCUCAGGAACCUCCUGCAAGGAGCAAACUGGUAGCAACAGCUGACUGGAAUUUCAAGGGAGCAUGUACAGGUCGGUGCUAGCUACAAUGGCAUGAAUCAAGCUGUUAACCCAAAUGGACAGCUACUUAGAAAUGGAGGGCUGUAUAAUUCUGAUGGAAGUCUGGCUGAGAAAAAUCAGAUGAUCAAUCACUUUGCGGACUCCUACAAUGCAGGCUCAUUCACGCAGUUGCUCCUGUAAGAGUGUAAACAAACCCAAAGAUGAGAAUUCAAGUGAAGAGAUUCAAAAGUCUAGAUGAUGACAAGUGUCACAAGAUCCAAGGGCAGUUAUAAGGAUGUUAGAAUCUGUUAGGAUCUGUUGGUAGUUAGAAUGUGUAGUUAGUUUGUUAAGAUACUAGCUUGUGGAGUAAGUCAUGAAUAUAUAUAACUGAGAUGUAAGAGAUGGAAAGACAUUCAAUGAAAAAGAAAUACAUCAGAAAAAUCUUUCUUCUUCUCUCUUUACAAUUCUAAAGUUUUCUUCCUCUUCAUUACAAUUACUGCUGCUAUCUUCACAUGGUAUCUUUGCCUUGUAUCGACCUGGCGCUUCCGCAUCUCAAUCAACGCAUUUCUUUCUCUUCUUUACCCUCUAGUUUGCCGUCUGUUGUGUGAUAAAAGAAAUAAUUGGCUUCGUCUGAUCUCCAUACACCUUCACGAUAUUGUUCUUCGUUUCUGCAUACCAACUGUUUGCUCAAUUGUCUCAGUGAAAGACUUCUAUACAAAAUCAAUAAUGGUGACUGCUAAUCAGUUAACGAUUGUUCAAUCUCCGAUCACUGGUCUUAUUUCUACCAUUUCGACAUCCGUUACAGUCAAGCUUGAUGAUUCGAACUACCUCACAUGGAGUUUUCAGAUAACUCUUCUCUUCGAGAGUCAUGGCAUUAUGGGCUUUGUGGACGGCUCAAGGAAAUGUCCUCUGCGAUUUGAUGAUGAUUCUACAGGUGAAGGGAUUGAGACCGAUGGUUCUUGUCUGGAAGAUGCAUGAUCGUGCCCUUAUGCAGUUGAUCAUUGUCACCUUGUCUCCAAUGGCGAUGUCCUGCAUCAUUGGAAGUCGAAGUUCUCAUGAAAUGUGGACUAGUCUUGCUGAAAGAUUUUCCACAGUUACCAAAGCUACGAUUUUUCAAAUGAAAACUGAGCUCCAAAACAUCAAGAAAGGUUCUGAGUCUGUCUCUAUAUACCUGCAAAAGAUCAAGGAUGCCAUAGAUCAUCUUGCAGCUGCUGGUGUUCAUUUUGAUGAUGAUGAUAUAAUCAUCCUUGCUCUGAAAGGUCUUCCUGCAGAAUUUAAUACCUUUCGUUGUGUCAUACGGGGCAGAGAAACCACUAUUUCACUCAAGGAUUUCCGGUCUCAAUUGUUGGCAGAAAAGACUACUAUUGGUCAGGCUUUUGAACCAUCCCCAUAUUGUGGCUCUGCCAUGGUUGCUGGUACUGCGGUUAACAAAGGGAAAGCUUUAGUUCUUGAUCAAGAUUCAUCUCAGUCUGUUGAAUUUGGUUCAAGCUCUGGAACCAAUGACCAACCCUACACAAGUAAUGGUAGUGGAUUAUCUCAUUCUGCUCAUAGUUUUGGAGGCUCUUACAACAAUAAUGGCGGUCAAAUGUUCAACAAUGGUGGUCAUUAUCAAGGAGGGUACAAAGGCAAUAACUUCAAAGGCAGAGGCCGCGGUAGAUCACUAUUCUGGCCCUCGAUUUUAUCAACCUUCAUCUAACACAAGUCCAGGCAUUCUUGGUGCUCCGAGACCAUUUCAAUCCCAUUGUCCUGCUCAUCCUUCUGAGAUUCCAACUUGCCAAAUUUGUAACAAAAAAGGCCAUGUUGCAGCAGAUUGCUUUCAGAGACAGAGACAUGGUUCACAAGUCACCAGUUCUCCAUCUCCGGUUCAAUGCCAAAUUUGCUGGAAAUUUGGUCAUUCUGCAAUGCAGUGCUAUCACAGAGGCAAUUUUGCCUAUCAAGGCAAGUCACCAUCCUCACCUCUAGCAGCAAUGCAUGUUCAUCAUCAACCAUCUGCACCUAUGGAACAGUUUUGGGUUGCCGAUACUGGUGCAACCUCCCAUAUGACAUCUGAACUUGCCAACUUGGAUCUGUCCACUCCAUAUCCCGGCAAUGACACAAUAACCACAGCAAGUGGUGCAGGUUUGCAAAUUUCUCAUGUUGGAACUUCAACCUUACACACUCCUACUCAUAGUCUUGCAUUGAAGAAUGUGUUAUAUGUUCCAAAAAUCUCUCAGCAUGUAUUAUCAGUUUAUCAGCUUUGUAAGGAUAAUAGAUGCAUAUUUAUAUGUCAUGAUCUAUGUUUUUGGGUUCAGGACAAACUCACAGGGACAAUCCUUCUCAAGGGGCUGUGUAGGGCUGGCUAUUACCAUAUUCCUUUCCGCAUUUUUUCGAAGCCAUCAUCUGCAUCAUCUCAAUCACACAAAUGCUUUCUUGCACAACCUGUUAGCACUAGUUUAUGGCAUCAAAGGCUAGGUCACCCAUCUAAUGCAAUCACCUCUGCAAUGCUUCAUCAAAAUAAAGUCUCUCUGUCAUUUAACACAUGUAAAUUAGUUUGUACAUCGUGUCUCGAAGGAAAAUUCACCAAAAUUCCUUUUGUUUUUCCUACAACUAAGUCUGUACAUCCUUUAGAAAUCAUCCAUAGUGAUGUAUGGGGACCUGCCCCUCUUCUGUCAUUUGACAGUUUUAGAUACUAUGUAACUUUCAUAGAUGAAUGUACAAGAUUUACAUGGAUUUUUCCAUUGAAAAAUAAAUCAGAAGUGUUUGCUCUCUUUGUCAAAUUUUAUGCAUUUGUGUACACUCAAUUUUCUGUCAAAGUCAAAGUUCUUCAAAGUGAUGGUGGUGGAGAAUAUACCAAUUCACAAUUUCAGUCUUUUCUAGCCACACAUGGUAUUAUCCAUAAAAAAUCCUGCCUAUAUACCCCUGAACAAAAUGGUUUGGCUGAGAGAAAGCAUAGGCACAUUGUAGAGACUGCUAUUACACUCCUUCAAACUGCCAGAUUACCAAAUCUUUUCUGGUUUCAUGCUUGUGCUACUGCAACUUAUCUCAUUAACAGAAUGCCAUGUGCUACCUUAAAAAUGCAGUCUCCUUAUCAACUGUUGUAUGGUCAAAUACCUAGUAUUACUCAUCUAAAAAUUUUUGGUUGUGCAUGUUUUCCACUCUUAAAACCAUACAACCCUAGUAAGUUACAACCAAAAACAACCACUUGUGUUUUUCUGGGUUAUGUAGCAAAUUACAAAGGCUUCAUUUGUCUAGAUAUUACCACCCAUCAAUUGUAUAUAUCUCGACAUGUCUUAUUUGAUGAAUCAGUGUUUCCUUACACACAGUUUUCCAGUUCUCAUUCUUCUAGUCAAACUGCAAGUUCUUCUCCUUCCUUGCACUCUUGUCCAUCUAUGCCAUGCAUUACCCUAACCAAUCAAGUCACAUCAUCAUCUCAUUCUCAUGCAUCUUCAUCCCACAUCCCAAGUUCCAUGUCUACACCUGCAUCUCAUGCCUCAGAGUCCUUGCCUGCAUCUAGUACCUCUGAUUCUUUGCCUGCAUCUCGAGCUCUAGAUUCUUUGGAAACACAUGCCUCUAGUAUUUAUGCCACUUCUGCUAUACCAGCACUUACACCUACACAGCAACCAGUCCCUGUGGAUCCUGAUUUCCAACAAGAACACCUUCAUGUGGUUCUUCCAAUCCCAAUGAAUGUGCACCCUAUGGUUACAAGAUCCAAGAAUGGUAUUGUCAAACGUAGGGCUUUAUCUGCCAGUGUUAGUUCUCAGGCAAUUCUCUCGGAACCAAAAUCAUUCAAAGCUGCUUCUAAAUUACCUCAAUGGCAGAAAGCCAUGAAGGAAGAGGUAGAUGCUCUUCAUUCUCAAAAUACAUGGUCUCUUGUUCCUCUUCUACGUGGUAAGAACCUAGUUGGGUGUAAAUGGGUGUACAGAAUUAAACAGAAUGCAGAUGGUACUGUGGCCAGGUAUAAGGCAAGGCUUGUAGCCAAAGGCUAUAGUCAGAAUGAGGGUAUCGACUAUGGCGAGACAUUUAGUCCAGUGGUUAAACCUACAACAAUUCGCCUUGUUUUUGCUUUAGCAGCUCAGUUCAAAUGGCAACUCAGGCAAUUGGAUGUCAAAAAUGCCUUUCUCCAUGGAUUUUUACAGGAAGAAGUGUAUAUGGAGAAGCCUCCGGGUUUUCAAAGUCUUACUCAUCCUUCCACUUAUGUCUGCAAGCUUCACAAAUCGCUCUAUGGACUUAAACAAGCUCCACGAGCUUGGAAUGAUAGAUUCACCAGUUUUCUACCUGCAUUGGGGUUUAAGUCUUCACAUGUCGAUUCCUCAUUAUUUGUUCUCCAUUCUCACCAUGAAAUUGUCAUCUUGCUCCUUUAUGUUGAUGAUGUCAUAUUGACUGGAAGCUCGUCUAAAUUGAUUUCUCAGGUUAUUCAGACCUCACUACGGAGUUUGAGAUAAAGGAUUUAGGCAAUCUGCACUAUUUUCUGGGGUUGCAGAUUACUCAAUCAGAUGAUGGUUUGUUUGUUUCCCAAUCUAAAUAUGUUAAUGAGCUCAUUGACAAGGUGGAUUUGCAGGAUUGCAAACCGUGUGCUACUCCUUGUUUGCCCUAUCACCGCCUUCUCAAAGAUGAUGGCAAGCCUUAUCAUAGUCCGGAGUAAUAUCGUAGUGUUGUUGGAGCUCUUCAAUAUCUCACCUUUACACGACCGGAUAUAGCCUUCUUUGUCAAUCAAGCAUGUCAAUUCAUGCAUAAUCCUAUGGAAUCUCAUGUCAUUGCGGUCAAAAGAAUUCUCCGGUAUCUUAAGGGCACUUCAAAUUAUGGCAUUCAUUUUCAACCAGGGCACAUAUGUCUUCAGUCCUAUAGUGAUGCAGACUGGGCCGGGGAUCCAAAUGAUCGAAGGUCUACUUCAGGGUUUGUCAUUUUUCUCGGUUCUAAUCCUAUCUCUUGGGCAUCGAAGAAGAAACACACUGUGUCCCGGUCCUCCACCGAAGCAGAAUAUUAGGCCUUAGCUAUCACUGCAGCUGAACUAGCUUGGAUCCGACAAUUAUUUUGUGACCUUCACAUCUUUCUUCCUCAAGCACCGAUGCUUUACUGUGACAACCUCUCAGCUAUCUCUUUAUCCACCAAUCCUGUGUUUCAUGCCAAAUCUAAACACAUUGAGAUUGACUAUCACUUUGUCCGUGAAAGAGUUACAAGGGGUGAUCUUAAAGUGCACCAUGUUUCAUCUGCUGAUCAAUUUGCUGAUAUACUCACGAAGGGGUUGUCUGCCCCUCUGUUCCAGCAGCAUUGUGGCAAUCUCAUGCUCAGUUCCAUUUCGCAUGAGCUUGAUGGAGGAUGUAAGAGUGUAAACAAACCCAAAGAUGAGAAUUCAAGUGAAGAGAUUCAAGAGUCUAGAUGAUGACAAGUGUCACAAGAUCCAAGGGCAGUUAUAAGGAUGUUAGAAUCUGUUAGGAUCUGUUGGUAGUUAGAAUGUGUAGUUAGUUUGUUAAGAUACUAGCUUGUGGAGUAAGUCAUGAAUAUAUAUAACUGAGAUGUAAGAGAUGGAAAUACAUUCAAUGAAAAAGAAAUACAUCAGAAAAAUCUUUCUUCUUCUCUCUGUACAAUUCUAAAGUUUUCUUCCUCUUCAUUACAAUUACUGCUGCUAUCUUCACAGCUCCGUGGUGACAGCUCAUGUUGGAACAACUAUACAAUGACGCAACUGCUGCACAAUAAGGCAGCUUACAUUCCCUCUGCAAACAUGAAUCUGAGCAGAAGUGUUGACAUAGCAGCGAACACACAGCUGAUUCCUAUGUUGCAUCCUCAGUUGGGAAACCAAGAAAACAACACGAGAAGUUACUUGCUGACCAACCAAAAUUGCAGGUCUUUGGUUAUGGAUUUUCCUUCCCAAGUUGAUGACAGUCGGCAAGAUUCCAACUCACUCCAUUGGUUAUUUGGCAACCAAAAUCAUCGCUCAAGUCCAAGCUCAAACCUGUUCAGUAAUGAUGACAGUUCAUCCCAGAUAAGUCAACGUAUGUACUUUAACGCGGUUAUGAUAUUUAUUCUGCUCUAAUUUGAUUUCAUUGAUAGAAAGUUUAGAAAUGAAUGCUCAAAUUUGAACGAAUGAUCGAUAUGCACUAUUUUUUUAUGAUGUCCGUCUUCUAAUCUAGUCUAAAAUAGGCAAAAAUGCGGACUAUAAGAAGAAACUAAAAUCUUUGAACAAGAAAAACGAAGAAAUUAAUACUGAAAAAUAAUAAACUUGACCGAGAAACUGCUUUUCUUCACAGAUGGUUUCCAACCAAGCUAUGAUCUAAACUCCUUGCCAAGUACAGAAGUCGACACUGCCUCAGGUGUUAUCGGCCAACUCCAAUUCACAACAGAUAAGGCCAAGAAUUUGGAGAACAACCAGCUUUCUGCAAUGCUGAAAUCCUUGACGGAUAAAUGUGAUAGGAAGGAAAAAGGCAAACAGGUCAUUUUUAUAAAAGAUGAAGCAAAUCAAACAAAUGGUGACGAACUCCUGCAGAACAUUGUGAAGUCAUCAUCUGCAGCCAUUUCUAAACCUUACAACAAAAACAAAGAGUCUGACAGUGGUGGUGACAGAGGGAUUGAUCUGAAUAAGACACCCCAGCAGAAACCACCAAAGCGAAGAAAACACAGGCCAAAGGUAAUCAUUGAAGGCAAGCCCAAGAGGACGCCAAAGCCUGCAACUCCAAAGAAUACAAAGUCUAAGGAGACCAGACCUGCAAAGAGGAAGUUUGAAAUGAACGUCCAAAAGGAAUCGCCAAGUCAACUGGCAGACAUAACACGGGAGACGGCAGACGCUAAUGUUGGAAAAGGUGCAAAAUCAUGCAGAAGAGUGCUGCAUUUUGAUUUGGAAAAGACCAUGGAUGAAAACCUAUGCAGAGCAAUUGGUCAGCAAGAGGAGACACAACAAGUGAACAAGAAGACUUUUGAUUUGAAUUUUGACUCUCAAGGGACACAUAUGGGAACUGAAACGAACCAGGUGAAUGCAAAGCCAGCUGAGCGAAGUGGACUGCUGAACGAAUUGUUGGUAGAUAAGCAGAUACCAGGUACUCUGAGUAACCCUAUCCAUUCCAUGAGUCUUAUGCCAAAUAACUUUACAUUUCUGCCAGAAAGGCAAGUAUCUGCAGCCCUACUUGCUACAACAAAAGACAUGCAUCUGAAAAAUUCGCAUGUCAUGAGGAGACUUGUAGAGAAUGCAAAUUCUGAUUUAUGCCAGAAAAGAUGCAGAGAUGAAUCCACUCCAAUGCAGCAACAUAGCCAUGCUGGAGAAAUAUGCCAAGAUGUCAUUCGAGCAAACAUUAACCAUGAAAACCUUCAGAAAACUAAAGAACUUGUCAACCAGGGUGAUUCUUUACUAAAACUUCUCUCCCUUCCAAGUGAAGGAAGGGGAUCCAAGAGGGAUUUUUUUCGAACUGCUGAGGGCACUCGCCUUUCUACCAACAAUCCACCAAGUUCACUAUCAUUCCAUGAGUUACUUCAAUUGGAUGAAAUUCAGAAAAACAGUGGUAUUCUCAACAAAGAUUUUUCAGGAAGCCGUAAGAAAAAGAAAAUUGAGAAUAGAUACUUGAACAUUAAUAAUAUGCCUAAUAAAGUUACAGCGGUUGAGGAGUGUCUGAGAAAAGUUGAAAGACCAGAGGAAAAUAAUGUCAAUUCAAAUGGAUUUACAUCGAAGAACCAUAAAAUGCUGAGUUCUUACAUUAAAAAUAACAAAAUUAUGGACAGGGAGAACAAAGAGAUCAGCAAGUUUAUAGGUGACAGGUGUUGUGAUUGGCUCAUAUUUUGAGCUGUUAACAAUUAAGUGACUUUGUGUGUUAUGCUUUCGGAAUAGUGGCCAAAUAUGUCCAUAUCUCAUUUUGGCUAAUAGUGGAAGACAAUGAUGAUGUUUCAUGGGAUUCCUUUGUUUUGGCAAUUUUUAUUCAUUUCCCAUUUGCAUGCCGAAAGUGGUUUUGGGUUUUGAGAAAAAGGAGCAUGAUGGAUCAUCAUUGUGUCUAUGUAAAAAAGGAGAGGUUGACUCACUUUUCUGUCCAUUUAAUUGCAAAGAGCCGAAGUGGAGAAAUGUAGAGAGAGAGCAUCCGAAGGAGAACACAAAGGAGAGAAAAUAUAGAGUAAGAGUGAGAAACUCUUGGGGAGAGUGAGUCUCUUAGUAAAAUUCUGUGAGGGUACAAGGGAUUGGGGUUUGGGUUAUGUCGAUUUAACUCAAGUGUAACUUGUACUGUUAUUCUCAUAGUGAAGAGCAAUAUCUCUCCGGGGACGUAGGCAGGAUUUUUGCCGAACCUCGUAAAUUUCUCAGUGUCUUUAUUUCUUGUAUUUUAAAUUGUUCAACUGUGGGUUUAUAAGUUGGUGAGAUAACAGGCCAAAGCACAACAAUUGGUAUCAGAGCUUUGUUGGAAGCUUUGGUUCAUCGAAGGUCCAAAUUUGUUAUUCACCAUGAUGACUACAAACAUGUCAUUUUCAGUUGAGAAGUUUAAUGGGAAAGGCAGUUUUACUCUUUGGCAGAUGAGAGUAAAGGAUGUAUUGACUCAACAAGGCUUGGCUAGAGCUUUGAAGGGAAAAGAUGGGAAGCCUCAAGAAAUGACAGAUGACCAGUGGGAGGAGCUGGAGGGGCAUUGUGUUAGCACGAUUCGACACUGUAUAGCUGAUAACAUUAUCAAUAAUGUUAUGGAUGAAGAUUAUGAGCCUGCACUUUGGGAGAAGUUGGAAAAACUCUAUAUUGCUAAGAGUUUGACUAACAAGUUGCAUUUGAAGCGGAAACUGUACAAGCUGAAGAUGGAUGAAGGUGGGAAUCUCAUGGACCACAUGAAUGUGUUCAACGGAUACUUGGAUCAAUUGAGGAAAGUUGAUGUCAAGGUUGAGGAAGAAGACAAAGCCCUCUUAGUUCUUACCUCACUUCCAGAUUCGUAUGAAAAUCUUGUGACAACCUUACUGCAUGGAAAAGAUACAGUAAGUUUGGAGCAGGUGCAAGCUUCUUUGGUGUCUUAUGAUACACAAAAGAAGAAGACCAUUGUUGAUGGUGGGCACGAGACUGCUUUAGCUGUUCAAGGUUGGAAUCGUGGAAGAAAAUUGGGAGAAGGAUCUGAGAGAGACAACAUGUUCAAAUCCGGUUCCGGAGGCAAGGGUCUACAAUGCUACGCCUGUAAAGAAUUUGGGCAUAAAAAGAUAAAUUGUCCUUUGAGAAAAAGAAAGGAUGAUCUUGGUCCGAGCAGUAGCAAUUUUGUGGAAGAAGACUUCGAGUAUGCCCUCUAGGUACUCGAAGCAACACUUCUCUUGGUGAUGUUUAGUCUUAAGUGUUGUAAGGGAUUUGCAGCAGGUGGAGCUAUGGGAUUCACAGGUGAUGAGAUGGUCCUGAAGGAAGAGAAGUGUGAGGAAUAUUUGUCUGGCUCGAUGAGUGUUGCUGGAAAUGGGUGCACUGAUAAGUUUCCAGGUUGCAGACAAUAAAGAAGGGGAAAAACCUGCUGAAGGAGACGAGGAUGUGUCGAGAUCCUGCCUGAAGCUAAAUUGUGAUUUUUAGCUUGCAGCAGCUGCACAUGCAUUGGCAGUGACUGAAUCGGAACAGGACCAACGAGGUUUAUUCAGUGUGUGUAUGCUGGUACGUAAGGCCAAUGGACUUUGGUGAUGGGUGCAAGGAUUUUUUGCACAGUAUAUUCGCCAAGGUGGAGAUUGUUGUGAUUGGCUCAUAUUUUGAGCUGUUAACAAUUAAGUGACUUUGUGUGUUAUGCUUUCGAAAUAGUGGCCAAAUAUGUCCAUAUCUCAUUUUGGCUAAUAGUGGAAGACAAUGAUGAUGUUUCAUGGGAUUCCUUUGUUUUGGCAUUUUUUAUUCAUUUCCCAUUUGCAUGCCGAAAGUGGUUUUGGGUUUUGAGAAAAGGGAGCAUGAUGGAUCAUUGUGUCUAUGUAAAAAAUGAGAGGUUGACUCACUUUUCUGUCCAUUUAAUUGCAAAGAGCCGAAGUGGAGAAAUGUAGAGAGAGAGCAUCCGAAGGAGAACACAAAGGAGAGAAAAUAUAGAGUAAGGGUGAGAAACUCUUGGGGAGAGUGAGUCUCUUAGUAAAAUUCUGUGAGGGUACAAGGGAUUGGGGUUUGGGUUAUGUCGAUUUAACUCAAGUGUAACUUGUACUGUUAUUCUCAUAGUGAAGAGCAAUAUCUCUCCGGGGACUUAGGCAGGAUUUUUGCCGAACCUCGUAAAUUUCUCAGUAUCUUUAUUUCUUGUAUUUUAAAUUGUUCAACUGUGGGUUUAUAAGUUGGUGAGAUAACAGGCCAAAGCACAACAACAGGUACACUCACUCCAUCACUUCUGGGAAUGGUUUUGUACAUCUGCAUAUCUCAUCCAAAUCAAAUUCAUGCCAAGGUUCCACAAAAGUUCUUAGCUUUUCCACCCAUUCAACAAGUGAAACAUGUAACCAGCAAGCCUCAUCACUUCCCAGAAAAUCCCUUCAGAUAGCAAACAAGCAGGUAUCUCAUGAUAAUACGUCAGCAAAGAAGCAGUCUGAAGGAAUUACUCUAUCGAAAGUUUCAUCAGGUACAGAUAAAGUCUGUCAAGAGAAGGAUUCAGCGUAUGAUCACAAGCAACCUUCUGCAAAAGCAAUUGGUACUUUCCACCUUAAGAAACAUCUCAAUAAUGUAUCAUCACAAUAACUGCUUUCAACUCACUCAAAUGAUGACAUACUCUUGAUUUUGCAGGGUAUCCAAUAAGAACAAGAUGUACUAUACCAAUAGAUGGCAUCAUACAUCAAUUUAAUGGUCUGAACCUCAAUGGAAGCUGCAGCAAAAUUCUAGAGCAGGAGAAAGCUGCACUUGUUCCUUACAAAGGAGAUGGUGUAAUUGUCCCCUUUCAAGGUAUUAUAAAGAAACAUAAGCCGCGACCAAGAGUAGAGCUUGACCCAGAAACAUAUAGGAUAUGGAAUCUGUUGAUGGGCAAUGAGGGAAGCAAAGGUAAUGAAGGAACUGAUAAAAAUGAGAAGUAUUGGGAAGAGGAAAGAAAUGUUUUCCAAGGACGAGUUGACUCAUUCAUUGCGCGCAUGCACCUUGUUCAAGGUAAAAUACACUUUAUAGCAAUCUGCAGCACAACAUGCAUUUCCAGUUCAGGCACAAAAAUGCAAAUUAUUCAACUUGAAGUAAUACAAAAGACAUAAACUCAACCAUGAAAACUCAGACUUGACGAUAUCUAAAACAUGUAAAAGCAGGACAGUACUAUUUUUCUUUGUGAAAGACUGCAUAUUAGUAGCUUUCUCAAUUAGACAACAGGGGUAAGAAUUACUUUUUGCUUCUCAUGUAUACGGUAUACCAGAAAAACAUAAAUUCAUUAUAAUUUUCUCCAAUUAGUGGAUACGUAGUUAUUAGAUAUCAUGCACAUCAACCAUUGAUAAAAAAUUAUAAUGAACACGAGACAGACGUUUUUCAAAAUGGAAAGGAUCAGUUGUUGACUCGGUGAUCGGAGUUUUCCUUACCCAGAAUGUCUCAGACAUCUAUCAAGGUAUGUUAAGAAUUUUGGCAUGAAGAAUCAACCAGAUAGCUCAAAAUGAAUGUCUUACAGUGAACAAAUUUUAUUUUGUUCUUUGUCUUUUGUAGCUCUGCCUUCAUGUCAUUGGCAGCACGGUUUCCGCUUCAGUCAAGCAAUCACCAAGCUCCACACAAGGUUCGGAUAAACAUCUUGGUUAACAAACCAGAAGUUUGCAUGACAAGUCCAGAUGAUGCCACCAAUGGCAUAAAGAUAUAUCAAGUCAACCAAUCUACCGCCAGACUUCUAUGACACUCCAUGAAUUGGCAGAAAAUCAGAGGGACAUUGAGAACUCAUGGACAGAAAGGAACUUAGAUGAGGAACAUGGUCAAUGUUUUGAGGAAGAAUUUGUAUCGUCUCAAGAUUCUAUUGAAUCCUCAGUCACUCAAGGAGCUGUAGGAAUCAGAUCAUACCCAAUGUCCAACUCAGAAACAGAAGAUCCUAUGACUGGAUGCCGACCCAACAAGGUUCCUAUUUCCAUUUCAACCUAUCAACAGAUGGAGACGACGACCAUGUUUCAGGACUUUUACCGUCAAGUAAAUGGAAUCUCACUAUUAGAUGAUGGAUCCAAGAAUGGGCACAUGGAGUAUUCACAGAUAAAGCCACCAUCAGACAAAAUCAAUCAUCUCACUGGCACGUCUUUCACAAAUCCAAUCAAUCUUGACAAUGAAAAUAUGCAAGUACCAGUUGUUCCUUCCAGCAACAAUCAAUUGCACAUGUACCCAGAUUCUGGAGAACCAAGGCCAUGGAGAUUUGGAACUUUCAAUGAGGAGAGCAUAUCCUCUUGGCCUUCGACUGCUUCCAGAUUCGAUAUUGAGCAAGACAAGUGCAAGAACUUGAGAAAUGAAGAACUGUUAGGAAGUGUUGUUAAUUCCUCUAUGCAACAGAGUAGUCUGUGGAGUUCUCAAGAAAUGCCACCAGUGGACCCGUAUGCAUUGUUCGGACAGCACUCAACAGACCUGAAAAAUAGGUCUGAAACAAGGCCAAGCACUGGACAUAAUCGUUCCAACUAUAGUCAUCAGCGUGAGAGGAACCUAACCUUCUCAUUAGAAAACACGUCAGCCAGAGAGCCUGGAAAACAUACUGAACCACUUAUGGGAAAUAAGAGUGGUAGCAUGCAGCAUGUCAAUAAUUUCAGUGAGCUCAGAAAAAAAUCUAUCAAUGUCGUUGAUGGUAUGCAUGUACACAUGGAAAAUCAACCAGUUGAUUCAAAUUUACAGGAGCAACAAUCUUCUCAUGGUCAGUCACAUAAGGAGACAAGUACAAAUACUUCAAAAAGAAGAAAAGGAAAGGCUUACAGCGAGAAAAAGAAUGCAGUUGACUGGGACAUUUUGAGAAACCAGGUCUUGGCCAAGGGUAGGGAAAAGGAAAGAAACAAAGACACAAUGGACUCACUGGAUUAUGAAGCACUAAAAAAUGCUAAUGUCAGAGAAAUUUCUGAGGCAAUCAAGGAGCGAGGGAUGAACAUCAUGCUAGCAGAACAGAUCCAGGUACUCUACUAUUAGUGUUCCGUCCAAGACUUCUUGCUUGUUAAUUGCAUCGUUAGUUUUCUCCAUAAUAACAUCAAUGAAUACGUUAAGACUAUCAUUCAUGAUAACAUUAGUUGCACAAUAUUUGUAGGAAUUUCUAAACCGACUGGUUAAAGAACAUGGAAGCAUCGAUCUGGAAUGGUUAAGAGAUGUUCCCCCUGAUAAAGCAAAGUAAGUCAUUGCACAAUUCAUUAACUUGUAGAAUGUUACAGCUACCCCCUUUAUGCCAUUAGGGAGGCUAUUAUUCAUCAGGUUUUGUAUACAGUUAUCACUAAUGAUUUUCUUGCAGGGAUUAUCUAUUAAGCAUAUGCUCCUAUCAACUUUACACGGGACACACAAAAGAAGUACUUUGAUCCUAUUAGACGGGGGAGGGUGAAGAAGCUAGGACAGAAGGGUAGAGUUCAAGAGAACAAAAUGCGUUUAGGAACGUGGAAUAUAGGAACCUUAACAGGAAAAUCUAUGGAAGUAGUGGAAGUUAUGGUGAGGAGAAGGAUAAAUAUUAUGUGCCUACAAGAAACUAAGUGGGUUGGUAGUAAGGCAAAGGAUCUAGAAAACUCAGGGUUUAAACUUUGGUAUUCGGGCACAAAUAGAACGAGAAACGGUGUUGGCAUCAUCGUGGACAAGACCUUGACACAAGAUGUUGUAGAUGUCAACAGGGUAGGAGAUAGAAUCAUAGCAAUCAAGAUUGUAAUAGGACAAGAACUUAUCAAUGUGAUUAGUGCGUACGCACCUCAAGUAGGGUUGGAUACGAGUUCGAAGGAGAAAUUUUGGGAAGACCUUGGAGACUUGGUGCAAGGAAUUGCUCAGACGGAGAAGUUAUUUAUAGAAGGAGAUUUAAAUGGACACGUGGGCAGGGAGACAGACAACUAUGGAGGUUUUCAUGGUGGCCAUGGUUUUGGGGAGAGAAACGAGGAUAGGGAAGCUAUCUUGGAUUUUGCAAUGGCAUAUGAUCUCUUCUUAGCCAACACCUUCUUUAAGAAGAGAGAAGAACAUGUGAUCACCUACAAGAGUGGGUCGUCAAAAACACAAAUAGAUUUUCUUCUAAUGAGGAAAGGGGAUCGUAUAACUUGUAAGGAUUGCAAAGUUAUACCAGGAGAGAGCGUGGCUAAUCAACAUCGCUUGUUGGUGAUGGAUGUACAUAUCAAAAGAGUGAGACAAAAGAACAAGACUUGGAAGUGCCCAAGGACUAGAUGGUGGAAUCUAAAAGAAGAAAAACAAGCCAUUUUCAAAGAGAAUGUAAUCACCCAAUGUGUGUGGGAUAGAGAGGGGGAAGCUAGCCAAAUGUGGGAUUCCAUGGCUAGUUGUAUCCGAAAAGUAGCAAAAGAGGUAUUAGGAGAGUCCAAGGGCUUUGCCCCACACCAAAAGGAAUCUUGGUGGUGGAAUAAGGAGGUACAAACAAAGGUGAAGGCUAAGAAGGAAUGUUGUAAAGCCUUAUACAAGGAGAGGACCGAUGAAAAUGGUGAAAGGUAUAGAAAAGCGAAGCAAGAGGCGAAGAAAGUUGUCAGAGAAGCUAAGUUAGCGGCUUACGACGAUAUGUAUAAACGACUAGAUACCAAAGAAGGAGAGUUGGAUAUCUAUAAACUAGCUAGAGCAAGGGAAAAGAAGACAAGGGACCUAAACCAAGUGAGGUGCAUCAAGGAUGAGGAUGGAAAGGUUCUUGCUACAGAGAACGCAGUUAAAGACAGAUGGAGAGGUUAUUUUCAUAAUCUUUUCAAUGAAGGACAUGAAAGGAGUGCUUCUUUAGGGGAGUAGAGUAACUCAGAAGAGUGUAGAAACUACUCUUUUUAUCGUCGAAUCCGGAAGGAAGAAGUGGUUGUAGCUUUGAAGAAGAUGAAGCAUAGAAAAGCAAUAGGCCCAGACGAUAUACCAAUCGAAGUGUGGAAAGUUUUGGGAGAGACAGGUAUAACAUGGCUCACUGACCUUUUCAAUAGGAUUUUGAAAACGAAGAAGAUGCCAAAUGAGUGGCGAACGAGUACUUUGGUGCCUAUCUACAAGAAUAAGGGCGACGUACAAAAUUGCAUGAACUAUAGGGGUAUUAAGUUAAUGAGUCAUACAAUGAAGCUCUGGGAGAGAGUCAUUGAGCAUAGAUUGAGGCAAGAGACACGGGUUUCGGACAACCAAUUCGGGUUCAUGCCAGGGCGCUCAACCAUGGAGGCAAUCUAUCUCUUACGAAGAUUGAUGGAAAAAUAUAGAGAUGGGAAAAAGGAUUUACACAUGGUCUUUAUAGAUUUGGAAAAAGCGUAUGAUAGGGUCCCAAGAGACAUUAUUUGGAGGAUUUUAGAGAAGAAAGGAGUACGAGUAGCAUAUAUCCAAGCUAUAAAGGAUAUGUAUGAAGGAGCAAAGACUUCCGUAAGAACUCAUGAAGGACAAACCGAAAGCUUUCCCAUAACUGUAGGAUUACAUCAAGGCUCAUCCUUAAGUCCUUACAUUUUUGCGUUGGUAAUGGAUGAGUUAACAGGACAUAUUCAAGAUGAUAUUCCUUGGUGUAUGCUUUUCGCAGACGAUAUAGUGUUGAUAGAUGAAACUCAGGAGGGGGUAAAUGCAAAGCUUAACUUUUGGAGAGAAGUGUUGGAAUCUAAAGGUCUUCGCCUAAGCCGAUCAAAGACAGAAUAUAUGGAGUGCAAGUUCAGUGCAAAUGGAGGCCAAAACGAGUUAGGGGUGAGGAUUGGAGAUCAAGAAAUACCAAAGAGCGACCGUUUUCAUUACCUAGGAUCUAUCUUGCAAAAGAACGGAGAAUUAGAUGGAGAUCUCAACCAUAGAAUACAAGCUGGAUGGAUGAAGUGGAAGAGUGCAUCUGGCGUGUUGUGUGACCGCCGUAUGCCACUGAAGCUCAAGGGAAAAUUUUAUAGGACGACAAUAAGGCCGGCGAUGCUGUAUGGCACAGAAUGUUGGGCGGUGAAGCAUCAACACGUACACAAAAUGGGUGUAGCGGAGAUGAGGAUGCUUCGUUGGAUGUGUGGGCACAUGAGAAAGGAUAAGAUUAGGAAUGAGGAUAUCCGGGGUAAAGUAGGAGUAGCCGAAAUUGAAGGAAAGAUGAGAGAAAAUCGGUUACGGUGGUUUGGACAUGUGCAAAAAAGGUCUACUGACGCUCCGAUUAGAAGAUGCGACUAUGGGACAGAGGUUCAGGGCCGAAAGGGUAGAGGAAGACCUAGGAAAACUUUGGAAGAGACUCUAAGAAAAGACUUAGAGUACUUGGAUCUAACGAAGGACAUGACACAGGACCGAGCACAAUGGCGUUCUAAGAUUCAUAUAGCCGAUCCCACUCAGUGACUUGGAUUUUCCAAGUCUCCAACCGAGAAGUUUUCCUCACUCGGAAAAUUAAGGGAACACUACCCCAACCUACAUGCUCCACUCAGAAAGCUUCAACAUACAAGCUUCAACAAAAGAAAAAUUCAAAAGAACUUAGCGAAGAAGGCUUUGGUGUAUUUAACACAAUACGUUGAAAUGAAGGAAAACUUAUUUAUUGAUAUCCCCGAUAAGCUACAAAUAUGUACAUAUACAUGAGUCAAAAUAAACAAACAAGAUGGAGCCUUCACAAAGGUUGCUUAGGAGAAGUCUCAGCAGUCGGUAGAGCCCCAGAAAGAGAAGGCAUCGGAGGGGGAUCAUUCGGAGCCUCAGUACUGGACAGAACCCUAGAAGGAGGAGGCAUCAGAGGUUGAUCAUUUGGAGCUUCAUUACGCGGUACAGCCCCAGAAGACGAAGGCAAUAAAUGCCUUUGGAACAAACCCACAAAUCUCUGAUGAUCAAGUAAAACCUGACCAUCAGAUUCCUUCAUCUGGUCAAGCUUCCUCUUCAUGUUUGUAGCAUAGUCAUGUGCGAGCCGGUGCAACUGUUUAUUCUCAUGCUUGAGCCCUCUAAUCUCCUGUUUGAGACUCAUCACUUCGGCCGCCAAUGAUUCAACUUGGCGGGUUCGAGCAAAUAGGCGUUGGGCCAUAUUAGACACAGAACCUGCACACUGAACACUGAGAGCCAGCGAAUCCUUAACAGCUAACUCAUCAGACCGUUUGGAAAGUAGUCUGUUAUCUUUGGGAGUGAGAAGGUUCCUGGCCACCACCGCAGCGGUCAUAUCAUUCUUCAUCACGGAAUCCCCAACGGUAAGAGGACCAGUAGGGGAGACGAAGGAUGGGCGCCAUAUGUUGUCUGGAGAAGGCGGGGCUGCCUCUUCAACAAGGUUCAAGUCAAAACGACGGUCGGAGGGGCCAGACAUUUUCAAAGGUGUUGAAGAGAGAAGAGGUCGGACAAAUCAAGAUCUUAGAAGUGCAAGAAUGGAGCUUCUACUGGUGGAGAUUCAAGUGUGCUUUGGAACUUAAUGCCAGCCCCUAUAAAAAGCUGCACUCGACGGAGCUUCAGACAUCGAAGAGGCGCCUGCUCAGAAAUCGAAGAGGCGUUUGCUUUCUCAAAAGCUGGGCUGCUUAGAGACCACGAGGGUUGAUCUCAUAAAUCGAAGAGGUGUUUGCUUUCUCAAAAGUUGGGCUGCUCAAAGACCACGAAAGCCGAUCUCAGAAAUCGAAGAGGCGCUCGCUUUCUCAAAAGCUGGGCUCCUCAGAGACCACGAGGGCCGAUCUCAGAAAUCGAAGAGGCACCUACUUUUCCAGCCUUGUCAGCACCUGUCACACGCACACUCAGCUUUGCGGAAAUUAUGGGUAUUCUGUCGAAGAUUUCUGGGGAAGUAGAAAACACAUGAAUCUUACUGUCCAAUCACCCACUUCCCACACGCAACAAUAGCUCAUGGGUACCACAGAUAACUUUGCCAAAGUUCUCUGCCAAAGUUGAGCACGUGAAGCUUGCAGCUCCCACUACAUCGCUCUGACCAAGAAGGGUAAAAGAAUAGCAAAGAAACAACACUAACAAAGUUUAGACCCAUAAAUUUUGAAGGUCUAGCUACCAUAUUAUUACCCACAAGGGUAAAGGAACAGUACCACUGCUGGAUAAUUGGAAAGUCCCUGUGUGUCAACCUCUGUGCCUCGUGGCAAGGUAGACUAGCAAACAUGCCCAACCUUUACUCACAUUCGAGAAAACACUCCCAAUAAGAUUGCUUGCUCCAAAAUCGAAGAGGCACCGUCCUCCGAAUCUCGAGAGCCAGACUCCCAACAUGACUACUUUCUCAAAAAUCGAAGAGAGGGUAAAGGAACAGUACCAUUGCUGGAUAAUUGGAAAGUCCCUGUGUGUCAACCUCUGUGCUUCGUGGCAAGGUAGACUAGCAAACAUGCCCAACCUUUACUCACAUUCGAGAAAACACUCCCAACAAGAUUGCUUGCUCCAAAAUCGAAGAGGCACCGCCCUCCGAAUCUCGAGAGCCAGACUCCCAACAUGAUUACUUUCUCAAAAAUCGAAAAGACACUGCUCCCCGAAUCUCGAGAGCCAGACCCCCAGCAUGAUUGCUUUCUCAAAAAUCGAAGAGGCAUCGUUCUCCGAAUCAAUCGAAGAGGCGCUCGCUUUCUCAAAAGCUGGGCUGCUCAGAGACCACGAAGGGCCGAUCUCAGAAAUCGAAGAGGCACCUACUUUUCUAGCCUUGUCAGCACUUGUCACACGCACACUCAGCUUUGCGGAAAUUAUGGGCAUUUUGUCGAAGACUUCUGGUGAAGUAGAAAGCACAUGAAUCUUACUGUUCAAUCACCCACUUCCCACACGCAACAAUAGCUCAUGGGUACCACAUAUAACUUUGCCAAAGUCUCUGCCAAAGUUGAGCACGUGAAGCUUGCAGCUCCCACUACAUCGCUCUGACCAAGAAAGGUAAAAAGAAUAGCAAAGAAACAGCACUAACAAAGUUUAGACACAUAAAUUUUGAAGGUCUAGCUACCAUAUUAUUACCCACAAGGGUAAAGGAACAGUACCACUGCUGGAUAAUUGGAAAGUCCUUGUGUGUCAACCUCCGUGCUUCGUGGCAAGGUAGACUAGCAAACAUGCCCAACCUUUACUCACAUCCGAGAAAACACUCCCAACAAGAUUGCUUACUCCAAAAUCGAAGAGGCACCGCCCUCCGAAUCUCGAGAGCUAGACUCCCAACAUGAUUACUUUCUAAAAAAUCGAAGAGACACUGCUCCCCGAAUCUCGAGAGCUAGACCCCCAGCAUGAUUGCUUUCUCAAAAAUCGAAGAAGCAUCGUUCUCCGAAUCUCGAGAGCUAGAUACCACAUACCACUUUUUCAAAGUGCUCUGACAGAGUUAAAACAUGUGAAGCUGGCAGCUCCCACUACCGUGCUAUGACCAAGCAGGGUAAAGGAAUAUCAUUACUACUUGUUGUUAGGGAGACUCCUAUAUAUGUCGACCUCCAUCCCCAACGGACAGGCAGACCUGCAAAAAUGCUCAACCCUUCCUCAUAUCGGAGAGGGCACUCCCAACGAAACCUUUCGAAAUAUUCGGCUUUCUUUCCCCCCGAUAAUACCUCUGCAAACAAGCUAUACUAGAGCAAGAAUAUCUCAUAUCAUGCUUUUUCCCUGUCUUUUCCUUUGGCCUUGUUCUUACCUGCAAGACAAGGAGAAAGAGAGCAAUCAGUCAGCACUUGAAAUCAAGCUCCCAGCCAGGAACUGACUGCCUGGAACCCCUUACCUGAUUACUUACCUGGCAUUGCUCUCGAGUACUCAUCUUCAACAUCUUAUGUUUCCAGGGAAGAUACCGCAUCUGCUUGAGGAACAGAUAGGGCAAGUGCGAAGGAUACAAGGAAGCAUGUGGAGACAAGCGUAACAGCACACGUGCCGAUACAUCCAUUACUCUGUCAAAAGCAAAAGUAUCCCAUAUCAGCAGGGUCGAACGUACUCUAGAUUUGAUGGACUUGUUUUGACCCUCAAAUUUUUCAGUCGGCCUUAUACUCUGGAGGAAACCAGAAAACCCUCCAGCCCAGUUCAAGAAUAAGCCUGUGGAAAGUUACUUCUUCAAAAGCAAAAGUAUCCCAUAUCAUCUCUUCUCAUUUUUCUUCUCUUUAUCCUUCAUGCUGCUGUAAGAUGGGGAGAAGGUGAACAAUCAGCCGGAGCUCUGAUUGCUUACCUUGUUUGUCACCUCUUUCAGCAGAUCCCCUAGCUCGGCGACUUGGGGGACUCCUACUACAUGGUUUGUAUCGCGCUGGACCAAGCCUGAAACUACAAGUAAGCUUCAAGUGAAAUUGAUACAUUACCUUGUGCAUCUCCACCAGUUAAAGAUACCACCCCUGGAUGGAGGAAGAGUACUUCCAAAGAAGCUGCCACAUCUACCUAUGAGACAGAUAAGGCAAGUCAAGAUGAUACCACACUCCGAUACUUAGAAGUUUCGUGAUUACGAGAUCAUUCUCCCACAAUAUUUCCUAAUGUCAUUUGUACUAAAUCAUUCACUGGUACUCACUAAAGGAGAGCUUGAACCUAUGUACUUGUGUAAACCCUUCACAAUUAAUGAGAACUCUUCUAUUCCGUGGACGUAGCCAAUCUGGGUGAACCACGUACAUCUUGUGUUUGUUUUCCUAUCUCUAUCCAUUUAUAUACUUAUCCACACUAAUGACCGGAGCAAUCUAGCGAAGAUCACAAAAGCGACCAUUUUCGCUACCUAGGAUCUAUCUUGCAAGAGAACGGAGAAUUAGAUAGAGAUCUCAACCAUAGAAUACGAGCUGGAUGGAUGAAGUGUAAGAGUGCAUCCGGCGUGUUGUGUGACCGUCGUAGGCCACUGAAGCUCAAGGGAAAAUUUUAUAGGACGGCAAUAAGGCUAGCGAUGUUGUAUGGCACAGAAUGUUGGGCGGUGAAACAUCAACACGUACACAAAAUGGGUGUAGCGGAGAUGAGGAUGCUUCGUGGGAUGUGUGGGCACACGAGAAAGGAUAAUUGAGAAUGAGGAUAUUCGAGGUAAAGUAGGAGUAGCCGAAAUUGAAGGAAAGAUGAGAGAAAAUCGGUUCCGGUGAUUUGGACAUGUGCAAAGAAGGCCGACUGACGCUCCGGUUCGAAGAUGUGACUACGGGACAGAGGUUCAGGGCCGAAGGGGUAGAGGAAGACCUAGGAAAACUUUGGAAGAGACUCUAAGAAAAGGCUUAGAGUACUUGGAUCUAACGGAGGACAUGACACAAAACCGAGUGCAAUGGCGUUCUAGGAUUCAUAUAGCCGACCCCACUUAGUGGAAAAAGGCUUUGUUGUUGUUGUUGUUGUUGUUGUUGUUGAUUAUCUAUUAAGCAUACGAGGCUUGGGCUUGAAAAGUGUGGAGUGUGUCCGGCUUUUAACACUUCACCACCUUGCUUUCCCGGUAACAAUUAUGCGACUGCUAAAUACUAAUUUUGUUACAAGAGCAUGAUGAAAAUCAAUGAAAUUAUAUCUGUUAUUUGCUCCAUAUUCAGUUACUCCUCCUAGAAAUGUAAGAAAUGAUAGUUUGGUAUAUGAAUGCUUACUUUUCAAGUACUGGAAGAUGCUAACCAUAUUCCUCUCUAGGUACCCAAUGCUGGAAUCAAUUCAAAAGUAUCUAUGGCCAAGAUUAUGCAAACUUGAUCAACGAAAACUGUAUGCUCAUAGCUCCAUAGAGUCUUCAUAUAAAUUUGAGAGCACUACUUUCAUGUGCAAGAGUUCAUGUAAUUGUGUUUUUAUUUGUCAACUUAUGCUUUUACUGAUUAGUUGACUAUUGAACCACAGUUAUGAGCUGCACUACCAGAUGAUUACAUUUGGAAAGGUAUGCAUGCUGUUUCAUUAUUUAGAAUUAUUAUCUAUACAACAACAACAACAACAAAGCUUUUUCCCACUAAGUGGGAUGAUUAAACAAAAAUAAAUUACGCACCUCAUAUUUUGAUCGUUAUGCAGUUUUUCUGCACAAAGAGUAAACCAAAUUGCAAUGCAUGUCCAAUGAGAGGAGAAUGCAGACACUUUGCAAGUGCUUUUGCAAGGUUUGAACAAUAAUCUCUGAUAAUUUACAUAUAUGUUGCUGCCACUGUGCAGGAAAAAAAUACAUUGAAGCAAGUCAAUAGAAUCUCCAGAUAUCUCGAGACACAGGAUUCAGGGUCAAUUACAUAAUAAUUAGAAUUUUAGAAGGAACUAAGAAUAGUAGAUAGUUUCAUGGAGAAUCUAUAACUCUACGUUUCACUAAUCACGUGGAACAAUUAAGAUAUUGUAUUAAUCAAAUUGAUACCAACCAUGUUUGGUGCAGUGCAAGGCUUGCCCUGCCAGGUCCAGAAGAGAAGAGCAUUGUGAGUUCAAGUGUUCCAAUUGCAACCGAAAUAAACCCUACAUAGCUGUCACUCCCAUGUCACUGCCUCCACCCGAAAUCAACUCACUCCAGAUAGCAGGUGUUGAGAUUAACAAAUGUGAACCAAUCAUUGAAGAACCAGCAUCCCCAGAACAAGAGUUCACUGAGCUAACACUAAGUGACAUAGAGGACUUGUUCUACGAGGAUCCAGACGAGAUUCCUACCAUCAAACUCAACAUGGAACAGUUCACAUCGACAUUACAAAACUAUAUGCAAGAUAAGAUGGAGCUUCAAGAAGAUGACAUGUCCAAGGCUUUAGUUGCCUUGACUUCGGAAGCUGCUUCUAUCCCUACACCCAAGCUAAAGAAUGUCAGUCGACUACGAACAGAGCACCAAGUGUAAGUACAUUUCAUCCCAUAGUCACAAUCCCACAUAUUCAUAGCAGAACACUGAACACAAACUGAAAUAUAGUAGGGCCAAAGUCCACAGCAUGUUCAAUCGAGGAAAACAAACUUAGGUGUGUAAAUUUUGAACACGCCACUGUCAGAAUUCUUGCACAGAAUUUUAAUAACUCCCUGCCUGGAGCCAUAUGUUCUGAGUUUUAGCACACGUACCUAUACAAGCAUGUGUAUACAGACAUAACUGUAAGUCCUCUGACACACUUAUACAUUCUGUGCUGGUAUAAUGCAGGUAUGAACUACCAGAUUCACAUCCACUUUGAAAAGGGGUAAGUUAAAUUUAUAUGGGUAAUGCUAGGGAGACUAAAUUUGGAGACAAAAUUUGCAAAUUAAAUGAUGUGCCACCAAUAGGAAUGAGCACAUUUAUCAAUGCUUAAGUAAUAAACCAAUCAAUUUUCAUGUCCAUGUCCUUUAGUUUCCAAAAUUUUGUUUACAAAUUUAGUCUCCCUAGCAUUACCCAGUUUAUAUAUAUUAUAUCUACAAUACAUGAAGCAUUCUUAUUCUCAAUUAAUCACUAUUCGACUUUACAGAUGGACAGACGGGAACCAGAUGAUCCAAGCCCUUACCUUCUUGCUAUAUGGACACCAGGUAAGCACCAGACAUAAAAGAACUGAGAUACAUUGUUGAGAAUCUUGAGAUUAUUCAAAUUUAAUGCAAUUGAUUCACUAAACCAAGUUAGAACUUGGAAUACAGAUGCAUCGAUGGCCUAGCGCUAGCUAAAUUUGAAAUCGGAUGUAUGAAGUUGUAGUGUACAUCUUACUAAGCGAUACAUUUAUUUUAUUUAUACCAGGUGAGACUGCAAAUUCGAUUCAACCACCAGAAAGCAGGUGUGGCUCCCAAGACCAACACGAAUUGUGCAAUGAGAAGACAUGUUUGUCAUGUAAUAGUAUAAGAGAAGAAAAUUCACAAACAGUCAGAGGGACAAUUUUGGUGAGAAAAAAUUGAUUGUUGUAAUAUGUCAAAUACAAUAAACUACAUGCACUUCUUACCGAAAUUUAUUCAACUUGUUGCAGAUACCUUGUAGAACAGCAAUGAGAGGGAGCUUUCCACUCAACGGGACAUAUUUUCAAGUUAAUGAGGUAAGUCUUAUUCAAACUAAUCUCCUUGAAGUUUGUCUACAGAACACAGUCUGGACAAAAUUAAUAGCGGUCCAGAAUCCUGUACUCCACUUCUGUAAGCCAGAAUGUUAGAGCCAUUAACUUCCAGAUUUAUAAACAAAGUUCUAUAAUGAACGAUGCAGAUGUUCGCAGAUCAUGAGUCUAGUCACAACCCAAUAGAUGUUCCAAGGGGGUGGAUAUGGAAUUUGCCAAGACGGACAGUAUACUUUGGAACUUCUGUAUCGACAAUAUUCAGAGGUAAGUGAUAUUAAGACACCAGCAUUGCGACAUUCACAUCCCAGUUAGAGAUGUAUACUUACAACAACAACAACAACAAAGCCUUUUCCCACUAAGUGGGGUCGGCUAUAUGAAUCCUAGAACGCCAUUGCGCUCGGUUUUGUGUCAUGUCCUCCGUUAGAACCAAGUACUCUAAGUCUUUUCUUAGAGUCUCUUCCAAAGUUUUCCUAGGUCUUCCUCUACCCCUUUGGCCCUGAACCUCUGUCCCGUAGUCACAUCUUCGAACCGGAGCGUCAGUAGGCCUUCUUUGCACAUGUCCAAAUCACCGGAACCGAUUUUCUCUCAUCUUUCCUUCAAUUUCGGCCACUCCUACUUUACCUCGAAUAUCCUCAUUUCCAAUCUUAUCAUUUCUUGUGUGCCCACACAUCCCACGAAGCAUCCUCGUCUCCGCCACACCCAUUUUGUGUACGUGUUGAUGCUUCACCGCCCAACAUUCUGUGCCAUACAACAUCGCUGGCCUUAUUGCCGUCCUAUAAAAUUUUCCCUUGAGCUUCAGUGGCCUACGACGGUUACACAACCCGCCGGAUGCACUCUUACACUUCAUCUAUCCAACUUCUAUUCUAUGGUUGAGAUCUCUCUAAUUCUCCGUUCUCUUGCACGAUAUAUCCUAGGUAGCGAAAACGAUCGCUUUUUGUGAUCUUCGCUAGAUUGCUCCGAUCAUUAGUGUGGAUAAGUAUAUAAAUGGAUAUAGAUAGGAAAGCAAACACAAGAUGUACGUGGUUCACCCAGAUUGGCUACGUCCACGGAAUAGAGGAGUUCUCAUUAAUUGUGUAGGGUUUACACAAGUACAUAGGUUCAAGCUUUCCUUUAGUGAGUACAGGUGAAUGAUUUAGUACAAAUGACAUUAGGAAAUAUUGUGGGAGAAUGAUCUCGUAAUCACGAAACUUCUAAGUAUCGGAAUGUGGUAUCGUCUUGACUUGUCCUUAUCUGUCUCAUAGGUAGAUGUGGCAUCUUCUCUGGAAGUACUCUUCCUCCAUCCAGGGGUGGUAUCUUUAACUGGUGGAGAUGCACAAGGUAAUGUAUCAAUUUCACUUGAAGCUUACUUGUAGUUUCAGGCUUGGUCAAGCGCGAUACAAACCAUGUAGUAGGAAUCCCCAAGUCGCCGAGCUAGGGGAUUUGCUGAAAGAGGUGACAGACAAGGUAAGCAAUCAGAGCUCCGGCUGAUUGUUCACAUUCUCCCUAUCUUGCAGGCAGCAUGAAGGAUAAAGAGAAGAAAAAUGAGAAGAGAUGAUAUGGGAUACUUUUGCUUUUGAAGAAGUAACUUUCCACAGGCUUAUUCUUGAACUGAGCUGGAGGGUUUUCUGGUUUCCUCCAGAGUAUAAGGCCGACUGAAGAAUUUGAGGGUCAAAACAAGUCCAUCAAAUCUAGAGUACGUUCGACCCUGCUGAUAUGGGAUACUUUUGCUUUGACAGAGUAAUGGAUGUAUCGGCACGUGUGCUGUUACGCUUGUCUCCACAUGCUUCCUUGUAUCCUUCUCACUUGCCCUAUCUGUUCCUCAGGCAGAUGCGGUAUCUUCCCUGGAAGCAUAAGAUGUUGAAGAUGAGUACUCGAGAGCAAUGCCAGGUAAGUAAGGUUCCAGGCAGUCAGUUCCUGGCUGGAAGCUUGAUUCCAAGUGCUGACUGAUUGCUCUCUUUCUCCUUGUCUUGCAGGUAAGAACAAGGCCAAAGGAAAAGACAGGGAAAAAGCAUGAUAUGGGAUACUCUUGCUUUUAACCCUGAUGAUAUGAGAUAUUCUUGCUCUAGUAUAGCUUGUUUGCAGAGGUAUUAUCGGGGGGAAAGAAAGCUGAAUAUUUCGAAAGGCUUCGUUGGAGUGCCCUCUCAGAUAUGAGGAAGGGUUGAGCAUUUUUGCAGGUCUGCCUGUCCGUUGGGGAUGGAGGUCGACAUAUAUAGGAGUCUCCUUAACAACAAGUAGUAAUGCUAUUCCUUUAACCCUGUCAGAGCACUUUGAAAAAGUGGUCUGUGGUAUCUGGAAAGCUGAUGUUGCGUGUGAAGAUUACAGACAAGCUUUAUCCAAGGAGAUCCGGCUCUUGAAGUUGGGAAAGUGGUGCCUCUUCGGUUUUCGAACAAGCAAUCCUGUCGGGGAUCUGGCUCUCGAGAUUCGGAGAACGAUGCCUCUUCGAUUUUUGAGAAAGCAAUCCUGCUGGGGGUCUGGCUCUCGAGAUUCGGAGAGCGGUGUCUCUUCGAUUUUUGAGAAAGUAAUCAUGUUGGGAGUCUGGCUCUCGAGAUUCGGAGGGCGGUGCCUCUUCGAUUUUGGAGCAAGCAAUCUUGUUGGGAGUGUUUUCUCGAAUGUGAGUAAAGGUUGGGCAUGUUUGCUAGUCUACCUUGCCACGAAGCACAGAGGUUGACACACAGGGACUUUCCAAUUAUCCAGCAGUGGUACUGUUCCUUUACCCUCUCUUCGAUUUUUGAGAAAGUAAUCAUGUUGGGAGUCUGGCUCUCGAGAUUCGGAGGGCGGUGCCUCUUCGAUUUUGGAGCAAGCAAUCUUGUUGGGAGUGUUUUCUCGAAUGUGAGUAAAGGUUGGGCAUGUUUGCUAGUCUACCUUGCCACGAAGCACAGAGGUUGACACACAGGGACUUUCCAAUUAUCCAGCAGUGGUACUGUUCCUUUACCCUUGUGGGUAAUAAUAUGGUAGCUAGACCUUCAAAAUUUAUGUGUCUAAACUUUGUUAGUGUUGUUUCUUUGCUAUUCUUUUACCCUUCUUGGUCAGAGCGAUGUAGUGGAAGCUGCAAGCUUCACGUGUCUCAACUUUGUCAGAGAACUUUGGCAAAGUUAUCUGUGGUACCCAUGAGCUACUGUUGCGUGUGGGAAGUGGGUGAUUGAACAGUACGAUUCAUGUGCUUUCUACUUCACCAGAAAUCUUCGACAGAAUGCCCAUAAUUUCCGCAAAGCUGAGUGUGCGUGUGACAGGUGCUGACAAGGCUGGAAAAGUAGGUGCCUCUUCGAUUUCUGAGAUCGGCCCUCGUGGUCUCUGAGCAGCCCAGCUUUUGAGAAAGCAAGCCCUCUUCGAUUUCUGAGAUCGGCCUUCGUGGUCUUUGAGCAGCCCAGCUUUUGAGAAAGCAAACGCCUCUUCGAUUUCUGAGAUCGACCCUCGUGGUCUCUGAGCAGCCCAGCUUUUGAGAAAGCAAACGCCUCUUCGAUUUCUGAGCAGGCGCCUCUUCGAUUUCUGAAGCUCCGUCGAGUGCAGAUUUUUAUAGGGGCUGACAUUAAGUUCCAAAGCACACUUGAAUAUCCACCAGUAGAAGCUCCAUUCUUGCACUUCUAAGAUCUUGAUUUGUCCGACCUCUUCUCUCUUCAACACCUUUGAAAAUGUCUGGCCCCUCCGACCGUCGUUUUGACUUGAACCUUGUUGAAGAGGCAGCCCCGCCUUCUCCAGACAACAUAUGGCGCCCAUCCUUCGUCUCCCCUACUGGUCCUCUUACCGUUGGGGAUUCCGUGAUGAAGAAUGAUAUGACCGCUGCGGUGGUGGCCAGGAACCUUCUCACUCCCAAAGAUAACAGACUACUUUCCAAACGGUCUGAUGAGUUGGCUGUUAAGGAUUCUCUGGCUCUCAGUGUUCAGUGUGCAGGUUCUGUGUCUAAUAUGGCCCAACGCCUAUUUGCUCGAACCCGCCAAGUUGAAUCAUUGGCGGCUGAAGUGAUGAGUCUCAAACAGGAGAUUAGAGGGCUCAAGCAUGAGAAUAAACAGUUGCACCGGCUCGCACAUGACUAUGCUACAAACAUGAAGAGGAAGCUUGACCAGAUGAAGGAAUCUGAUGGUCAGGUUUUUACUUGAUCAUCAGAGAUUUGUGGGUUUGUUCCAAAGGCAUUUAUUGCCUUCGUCUUCUGGGGCUGUACCGCGUAAUGAAGCUCCAAAUGAUCAACCUCUGAUGCCUCCUCCUUCUAGGGUUCUGUCCAGUACUGAGGCUCCGAAUGAUCCCCCUCCGGUGCCUUCUCUUUCUGGGGCUCUACCGACUGCUGAGACUUCUCCUAAGCAACCUUUGUGAAGGCUCCCUCUUGUUUGUUUAUUUUGACUCAAGUAUAUGUACAUAUUUGUAACUUAUCGGGGAUAUCAAUAAAUAAGCUUUCCUUCAUUUCAACGUAUUGUGUUAAAUACACCAAAGCCUUCUUCGCUAAGUUCUUUGAAUUUUCUUUUGUUGAAGAUGCUUUGUGAGUGGAGCAUGUAGGUUGAGGUAGUGUUCCCUUAAUUUCCCGAGUGAGGAAAACUUCUCGGUUGGAGACUUGGAAAAUCCAAGUCACUGAGUGGGAUCGGCUAUAUGAAUCUUAGAACGCCAUUGUGCUUCUGGUCCUGUGUCAUGUCCUCCGUUAGAUCCAAGUACUCUAAGUCUUUUCUUAGGGUCUCUUCCAAAGUUUUCCUAGGUCUUCCUCUACCCCUUCGGCCCUGAACCUCUGUCCCAUAGUCGCAUCUUCUAAUCGGAGCGUCAGUAGGCCUUCUUUGCACAUGUCCAAACCACCGUAACCGAUUUUCUCUCAUCUUUCCUUCAAUUUCGGCUACUCCUCCUACUUUACCCCGGAUAUCCUCAUUCCUAAUCUUAUCCUUUCUCGUGUGCCCACACAUCCAACGAAGCAUCCUCAUCUCCGCUACACCCAUUUUGUGUACGUGUUGAUGCUUCACCGCCCAACAUUCUGUGCCAUACAGCAUCGCCGGCCUUAUUGCCGUCCUAUAAAAUUUUCCCUUGAGCUUCAGUGGCAUACGGCGGUCACACAACACGCCGGAUGCACUCUUCCACUUCAUCCAUCCAGCUUGUAUUCUAUGGUUGAGAUCUCCAUCUAAUUCUCCGUUCUUUUGCAAGAUAGAUCCUAGGUAACGAAAACGGUCGCUCUUUGGUAUUUCUUGAUCUCCGAUCCUCACCCCUAACUCGUUUUGGCCUCCAUUUGCACUGAACUUGCACUCCAUAUAUUCUGUCUUUGAUCGGCUUAGGCGAAGACCUUUAGAUUCCAACACUUCUCUCCAAAGGUUAAGCUUUGCAUUUACCCCUUCCUGAGUUUCAUCUAUCAACACUAUAUCGUCUGCGAAAAGCAUACACCAAGGAAUAUCAUCUUGAAUAUGUCCUGUUAACUCAUCCAUUACCAACGCAAAAAGGUAAGGACUUAAGGAUGAGCCUUGAUGUAAUCCUACAGUUAUGGGAAAGCUUUCGGUUUGUCCUUCAUGAGUUCUUACGGCAGUCUUUGCUCCUUCAUACAUAUCCUUUAUAGCUUGGAUAUAUGCUACUCGUACUCCUUUCUUCUCUAAAAUCCUCCAAAGAAUGUCUCUUGGGACCCUAUCAUACGCUUUUUCCAAAUCUAUAAAGACCAUGUGUAAAUCCUUUUUCCCAUCUCUAUAUCUUUCCAUCAAUCUUCGUAAGAGAUAGAUUGCCUCCAUGGUUGAGCGCCCUGGCAUGAACCCGAAUUGGUUGUCCGAAACCCGUGUCUCUUGCCUCAAUCUAUGCUCAAUGACUCUCUCCCAGAGCUUCAUUGUAUGACUCAUUAGCUUAAUACCCCUAUAGUUCAUGCAAUUUUGUACGUCGCCCUUAUUCUUGUAGAUAGGCACCAAAGUGCUCGUUCGCCACUCAUUUGGCAUCUUCUUCGUUUUCAAAAUCCUAUUGAAAAGGUCAGUGAGCCAUGUUAUACCUGUCUCUCCCAAAACUUUCCACACUUCGAUUGGUAUAUCGUCUGGGCCUACUGCUUUUCUAUGCUUCAUCUUCUUCAAAGCUACAACCACUUCUUCCUUCCGGAUUCGACGAUAAAAAAGAGUAGUUUCUACACUCUUCUGAGUUACUCAACUCCCCUAAAGAAGCACUCAUUUUCAUGUCCUUCAUUGAAAAGAUUAUGAAAAUAACCUCUUCCAUCUGUCUUUAACCGCGUUCUCUGUAGCAAGAACCUUUCCAUCCUCAUCCUUGAUGCACCUCACUUGGUUUAGGUCCCUUGUCUUCUUUUUCCCUUGCUCUAGCUAGUUUAUAGAUAUCCAACUCUCCUUCUUUGGUAUCUAGUCGUUUAUACAUAUCGUCAUAAGCCGCUAACUUAGCUUCUCUCACAGCUUUCUUCGCCUCUUGCUUCGCUUUUCUAUACCUUUCACCAUUUUCAUCGGUCCUAUCCUUGUAUAAGGCUUUACAACAUUCCUUCUUAGCCUUCACCUUUGUUUGUACCUCCUCAUUCCACCACCAAGAUUCCUUUUGGUGUGGGGCAAAGCCCUUGGACUCUCCUAAUACCUCUUUUGCUACUUUUCGGAUACAACUAGCCAUGGAAUCCCACAUUUGGCUAGCUUCCCCCUCUCUAUCCCACACACACUGGGUGAUUACUUUCUCUUUGAAAAUGGCUUGUUUUUCUUCUUUUAGAUUCCACCAUCUAGUCCUUGGGCACUUCCAAGUCUUGUUCUUUUGUCUCACUCUUUUGAUAUGUACAUCCAUCACCAACAAGCGAUGUUGAUUAGCCACGCUCUCUCCUGGUAUAACUUUGCAAUCCUUACAAGUUAUACGAUCCCCUUUCCUCAUUAGAAGAAAAUCUAUUUGUGUUUUUGACGACCCACUCUUGUAGGUGAUCACAUGUUCUUCUCUCUUCUUAAAGAAGGUGUUGGCUAAGAAGAGAUCAUAUGCCAUUGCAAAAUCCAAGAUAGCUUCCCCAUCCUCGUUUCUCUCCCCAAAACCAUGGCCACCAUGAAAACCUCCAUAGUUGCCUGUCUCCCUGCCCACGUGUCCAUUUAAAUCUCCUCCUAUAAAUAACUUCUCCGUCUGAGCAAUUCCUUGCACCAAGUCUCCAAGAUCUUCCCAAAAUUUCUCCUUCGAACUCGUAUCCAACCCUACUUGAGGUGCGUACGCACUAAUCACAUUGAUAAGUUCUUGUCCUAUUACAAUCUUGAUUGCCAUGAUUCUAUCUCCUACCCUCUUGACAUCUACAACAUCUUGUACCAAGGUCUUGUCCACGAUGAUGCCAACACCGUUUUCUCGUUCUAUGUUGUGCCCGAAUACCAAAGUUUAAACCCUGAGUUUUCUAGAUCCUUUGCCUUACUACCAACCCACUUAGUUUCUUGUAGGCACAUAAUAUUUAUCCUUCUCCUCACCAUAACUUCCACUACUUCCAUAGAUUUUCCCGUUAAGGUUCCUAUAUUCCACGUUCCUAAACGCAUUUUGCUCUCUUGAACUCUACCCUUCUGUCCUAGCUUCUUCACCCUCCCCGUCUAAUAGGAUCAAAGUACUUCUUUUGUGUGUCCCGGGUAAAGUUGAUAGGAGCAUAUGCUCCCAAACAACUUUGAGUGGAGUCGUUCGAAAAGAAGUUUCUAUGGCCCCCUUGCUCAUUUAACACUGCAUCCGGGUGCCGAUGAAGAUACAGCGACCCUUGCUCACUUAUCACUGUGCUCGGGCCGCACAGCGCGCCACUUACGGGUGACGCCCUAGCUUUAGCGCUAUUUUGUUCUGGAUUCAUUUUCAUAAGGAUUCGACGUGAUCAUGGAGUGCCGGCUGUCGACUACCUGACGCCCUCCCCCUCCUCCUUUAUCCGGGCUUGGGACCGGCCAUGUAAGACAUAGGCGGAGUUUAGAGAUGUAUACUUACAAUGAAAAUAAUUAUGUCUACCAGGUCUAUCAACAGAGGGAAUUCAAUACUGCUUUUGGAGAGGUAUGUGACACUAACUUCAGUUCAUUUCAGUUUGUGGAUAACUAUACAGGAACAUAGUACAGAAAAAAAAACAUAACUUCUCAGGACUAGUUAUAUAACAAAGGUAUAGUUACCAAUGGUUUAAGAAAAAGAAAAUGUAAAUGAUAACUUUGAACUAAUUUGUACUUUUUUUUUUAUGCAAAAGACAAAUCAUUGAUAAUGCAAUUAUAUGUAAGCCAAAGGAUAAUCAAGAUAUUUGAGUGAUGAACUUGUCCAGUGUGAGUGUCUUCAAAAGAAGGGGAAAUAAGAGGGAAAUAAAUCUGAGUAAAGUUUGGUGUGACUGCUGAAAACAUUCUAUCAAAGAACUGGUGCAUGUAAUUUAGCAGUACAAAGUGACAAACAAGUUUACUUAUUGACUGAUUGACUUAUAUGAAGGAUAUGUGUGUGUGAGAGGAUUUGAAAGAAAAACGAGAGCACCACGACCCUUAAUGCCCAGAUUGCAUUUUCCUGCAAGUAAGUUGAACAGGACAAAAAAUGAAGGGAAGAAACAGCACUGAUCACGAUGCAAAGGAGAUUUUCAUCAGACGUAUACAAGACUACUGACUGUGAGAAGAACAAUGACUAACAAAUUCUACCGCAUUCAAUUAUUCUUCCUCUAGAUGAGCAUUCAUUAUAUGACAGGCAGGCAGCUGAUAGUGAAGUAUCAUGCACAAUAUGUGAGAUCUCAUGAUCAGUUGAUUGUAGCCUGUAGGUACAUUAGUAUUUUUCAAUAAAUGCCCUAAAAGGAGCAAUCCUUCCGAAAAAUGUCACAUUGUCACUAUCCAAAAGAAGAAGAUUUCUUAAGUAGUCAAUAAACAAAAAGAAAAAUUACAUGUAUGGAUGCGUGAAUACAGAAUAUACAUUCGAUGAAGUGAUACACAGCGGAAAAGGCAAAAGACUGAGGUAAACAAAUCAUCCCAAGUACGGCCGGCCUAUACUUAAACAAGAAUGCCGUACCGUCCAGCGGAGCCUAGAAGAAGGUGACUUGCGCAGACAGCUGACUCCUUUUCAAUAAAAAGGAAUAGCCAAACCAACCUCUGGCUGGUCAAUCUCAGAAAUCUUAUCGGCCAGCAAACCGGAGACGCAAUGCACAAUUCAUAAACAUAUCCUAAUCCCUAAUUCCACAUUGCAUAAGAAAAAUUCUAGACGGCAUUUCUCAAAUUAUGUCCGGGGGAAAAGUCUAUCUAAGGAUCAUUAGUUUGAAAACAUUUAGAACAAUUUCUACACAAACAAAUAUGAUUCAUUAAAGAAUUUAAUCAAAUAUUAUACUGCUCAAGAAGGCUUCGAUUCAUUUAACAACCAACGUUUUGAAUGAAGUUAGCAGCAACUAUACUAAUAUUAUGAAGACAGGCAACUACAACAUUGUAAAUGACAUUUACCUGCAAUUGUAGAAUGAUGGUGAUGAAGAAAUUUUUUCAAGCUUCUAUUACUGCAUUAGUUUAAAGCUGAUACCACCCACAGUACUUCCGUUGAGCUAAUAUACCUCAAAUAAAAAUCUGCCUCUUAGACAUUAAUUUAAUUUGGAAACUUUCAUGAAAAGAACUUGGGCUAAGUUUAUUUUAACAAAAAAAAUCAUGUUAUAACUUUAUUUAAUGAAAUAAACUUAAAUUUUAGAGUAAAUCUCAGUUUACCACCUUUAAGUUUCGUGGUUUUCAACAUUUGGUACAUGAAGUUUUUUUCGUCCCAGAGUCAUACCUAAAGUGUUAAUUUUGGAACAGUCUCAUACAUCCGUUAGUCUAGCUGUUAAGUCUCCCAUUAACUGAUAACAUGGCGCUCACGUGAACAAUGACUAGGCGCCACGUGUCAUUAAGGGGUCCAAGUGGAAAUAAAAAAUUUAAAAAAAAGCCAAAAUUUCAAAUUUCAAAUUUUAGAAUGGCAACAGUUAAAAGUGAACCAAGUUUUACUCGAAGCGCACACCCCCAGAAAUCUUGAUCCCCCAUCUCUGUCCGAAACCCUACCAACUCGCCGUCACUCCACCUCGUCGUUGGUCCAACUCGUUGUCGGUCGCAUGUCGUUGUACGUUGCACACACCUUUGCACAUCAAAGAAGGGGCACCAUUUCUGGGCAAGGUUGUCGUGAAGCCAUCGCUGGUGAUGGGGUGGCAAAAAAGGAGGAUUGAAGUAGUUGAAACACCAGUUUAUUGUAAGUAACUUACCUUUUUCGAAGUGUAGAUAAUAUGGGUUUAGGUUUUCCGAUUUUUCAAUUUUGAAUUUUAAGGAUUUGUGAGUUCCAAUCCCAUUUUUUUUCUUUGGUUUCUGGAAUUGUGUUUUGUAUUGGGUUUCCUACAUUGUUAAUUGUUUUCAAUGUGCAUGUGGUUUUGUCUUCAUUCGUGGUCUCAAUUGCAGCCUUUGAAAACCAUGUAUUCAUGGUCCCCAUGGUUUUGUUUUCACCAUUUUGUCCUCAUGAUCCUACAAGUUAGUGUUUUGGGUUAACUUUUUGGGUUUUUAAACCUUUUCCCUUGACUUUGCAGGCAUGCCUGAAUUAUUUACCCUUAAAAUUAACCAUGGUGGGAAGUGGUUUGAAAAUGUAUAUACGGGAGGGUUUGAGGCUUGGUUUAAUUACGUAGAAAAAGACUUCAUGUCUUUUUUCGAGAUUGAUGAAAUGGUUAAAGAGUUAGGAUAUGACGAGUUUAUCUUGUAUCACUAUAGGAUUCCUGGGAUGUUUUAUAGGGAUGGAUUAAGGCUUAUUGAAUGGACCAAGAUGUGGGUAAAAUUUGCAAGUAUGUUCUAGGGACUAGGGAAAUAGAAAUGUACCUAGAACAUCUAAGUUCGAAGCAAGUUGCCAUGAAACAAAGCUUUUGAUGAAUCUAGAUGAGAGUGGCAUAUUAAAAAAAGGUGUCACUAUAGAAGAUAUUGAGGAAUUGAGGGUGGCAAUUUCGAUUACAAAGGGAAGUGGAUCAAAAUUGAAGAAGGGUAGAGCAAAAGGAGGUGCUGAUCACUUAGAAAAACGGCUAUGUCUUUUGAAUGACAUAGCCUACAAUGGUGAUGAACAUGAGGCUGAAGCAACUGGGGGAGGACAAGGAAGUGGAGAUGAGGCUGAAGAUGGUCCUUUCAAUGCUGAUAAUGAAUGUGAUGAAGAUGAUGAAGGUGAUGAAGGUGAAAAAGGUCACGAAGCUAAUGAAGUUAAUGAAGCUGAUGAAGGAAAAUGAAGUGCUAAUGAAGGGGCUAAACUAGAAGCUAAUGAAGGUAAAAAAAUUUAAACAUUUAUUUUUGCAAUUUUAAUUUCAGUAUUCAAUUAUUUUUGCAAAGUUUAGGUUUUUAACAAAUAUGCAUUGUUUGUGGCAGUAAAUGCAGAGGAUGACACUACUGAUAGUGAGUUUGUGGAGUGUGACUACAGUUUGGAAGAUGAUGAUCGUCAUGCAAUAGAUGAUACAGUUGUAUACACUGUGAUUAGAGAAGCUGAAAAAGGUGAAGGGGUUGGGAACCAACAUCCAGAAUAAGUUAUUAAUGCAAGGGAUGUAGAAGACGUUCCCCUUGAUGAUUAGAGAGAAAACUCAAAUGGCCUGCACAAUGUUGACAAUUCAGGUUCAGAAUGUGAUGAGAAGGUCAUCUACCCUGAGUUCAAUGAAGAAGCCGACAUGGAUGAUCCAAAGUUUCAAAAGGGAUUGAAGUUUCGAGAUUCUGCAUAGUUGAAAGAGGCAGUGUGGUCUCACUCCUUUAAGUAUGGUGCACCUUCUAUUAAGCUAAAAAUGAAUGAGAAAUGGAAGAUUAGUGCAAAGUGUGAGAAAAAUUGUCCAUGGAGAUUGUAUGCUUCUAGGAUGUAGAAUGAAGAUUCAACGCAAGUGAAAAACUUAUGUUGGGAAACAUGAAUGUCCGUGGAUUUGGAGGGAAAAUCCUAACUGCAAAGUGGCAUGGCUUGUGAAGAGGUAUGUGGACAAGUUCAUACUCAACCCAAGCAUGCCCAUCACUACAUAUAUGGAGACAAUGAAUGAGGAAAGAAUGGUUAAGAUCCACCUCAAGACAACAUACAGAGUGAAAGCACAGUGUUUGAAAAUCUUUGAGGGGAGUAACGUGGAUCAGUAUACAAAGUUGUGGGAGUACUGUGAUGAGCUGAGGAGGACAAACCCUAGUAGUACAUUUAAGAUGAAGGUGCUACCUUAUGAUGAUGCUCAUGUGAUAUUUCAGAUGAUUUAUAUUUGUUUGGGGGCUUGCAAAAAUGGAUUUAAGAAUGGAUGUAGGCAGCUUGUAGGGUUGGAUGGUUGUCACUUGAAAGGAGUGUUCAAUGCCCAGUUACUGUCUGCAAUGGGAAUGGAUGCAAAUAACCAAACUUGGGUUAUUGCGUAUGCCAUAGUAGAGCUCGAGAACAAGGACAGUUGGGUUUGGUUUCUAGAACUGCUAGCUGCUAACUUGGGAAUUAAAAACCAUUGUGUUUGGACUUUCAUUUCUGACAAACAAAAGGGUUUAAUACCAGCUUUUGAGAAGGCGCUGCCUAAUUGUAAUCAUCAGUUCUGUGUUAGGCACUUAUACACCAAUUAUAAGGCAGAUGAGUUUAAAGGGAGAGGAUUAAAGGAUGCCUUGUGGAAUGUUGCUAAGUCAACAACCACUGCUGAUUUUAGAGAGAGUAUGGCUGAGGUGAAUAGGCUAAAUAAUGAAGCUUAUAAAUGGUUGGUGAAGAGACUAGCCUUGCAUUGGAGUAGGUCACACUUUGAGACACACACUUAAUGUGACAUUCUCUUAAACAACCUCUGUGAGAGCUUACUGAGGGCUAAGGACAAACCUAUUAUUACCAUGCUGGAAACUAUAAGAGUUUUAUUGAUGAAGAAUAUAUGGUUGAGAAGAGAUGCAAUGAGGAAGGAUAAAUGAACUAUUUGCCCAAAAAUCCAAAAGAAGUUGCAGGAGUACAAGUUGAAAAGCUCAUACAUUAUAGCUACAUGGUCUGGAGGAGAAAAUUUUGAAGUGGAUGAAGGCAGAGGCAAUAUAUUUGUGGUGGAUUUGAAUAGGUGUACUUGCUCAUGCAGAAGAUGGGAUUUGACAGGCUUUCCUUGACACGUCCCGACCCCGAUAUUCCCUGAAUACCCGGAUAGGCACAUGCUGGCUGACACCUGAGGGUGACGAAAGCCAUUUAUUGAUUACAAGAGUAAUGAUUAGGAGAAAAUAGUCAUGAAUAACUAUUAGAAUCUAUAAGUAAUAAACAAAGUUUAAGGAAGUAUCUAGAGUGCACAGAACACAAUCUAAAACAAGAUCACAAAAAGGAAAGAUCAUUACAAGAUUUCACACAAGUGAGUGAUAGAUUGCUACUGGUAGGGGAGUGCCUCGUACGUUGUGUCGUAGCCCUCGUUUCUAAGACUUGAAUGGGGGCGCAAAACAAAGGUGAGUGGACCAAGUUCAUAUAUACAAUAACAAUAAAACAGUUAUCCAGAUACUAACCCCCACAGUUUAUAUAAAUAAAACUACUAGCAUAAUAAGUGAUGGAUUUAGUGAAAACCCUAGCAUGCCAAAAAUAUUUCAAGAGACAUAUCGUGAAACACAAAGUAUCAAAUGUCUCAUAAAUCGUCUCGUAGCACGAUGUACUACUAGUAAGAUCAUUGAAUAAAUAUAUAUCUCCCGGCUCUAUGCCAACACCGUGGUCUAUGCGCCCGUAGCCAGAGAUUACCAACUCCCGGCCCAAUGUCUGCUCCGUGUCCCUCAGCCCGUAGCUAGGGAUUAUUUCUCCCGGCCUAACUGCCAACACCAAAUCCUCGCCCCAGGCGGCAUAGUGUCCACUAGGUACGCACAAAUAGUUACGCCUCUCAUAAAUAACCACUUUAUAUUAUAAAGUCAUUCAUCGUCUAUACUAUAAAGAGGGGUUUCUAAAACAUGUUCUAGCAUCCUAUCGUCAUCCAUCAGAUAGUCUACCAGUUCAAGGUUUUUAUAGAAAAUACGAUAUAUUAAAAUAUAGCUCAAUAUCAAUGUAUUAAAAGCGUGAGGCGUGGGCGAAGCGUCCGAGGCGAAGCCCGGCCUAGGCGUGAGGCGAAGCCUUACAGGAAUAAUUUUUUUUUAAAUAUAUAUGUUUAUGUAUUAUACAUAUAAUUGUAUAAAAAAUAAUACUAUGUAAAAUAAACAUUCAUUCUCAAUUUUUCAUUCAAAUCCAUAGUCAUUCAAAAGAUAAUAUCAUCUAAAUUCAUCAUUCAAAGGUAAUAGUACCCAAAUUCAUCAUUCAAAAGGUAAUACAAACAAAGAAAACAAUCAUUCAUCCAAAUCUUUCCUAACUGCAUGCUAUUAAAGAAACAAAGUAAGAAAAAAAACAAAGUACAACACAUUAAGCAAAAUCUUUCCUAACUGCAUGCUAUUAAAGAAAAAAACAAAGUAAUUCCACACAAAGGUUUGCAAAUAAAUAAAGAAAAAAACAAAAUAAUUCCACUAGAAACAUCAAUUCAUUUCUGCCUAAACACAUAAAACUUUAUCACAACUCACAAGUUCUACAAGUUAUAAACACCCUAAACAAUAAAACCCAGCCCUACAACUAAAAGUUAUACGAUUCUGUUCUGCGGCUGCCUAAACAAUAAAACUCUAAUCUUAAAUUGGGGAUUUCUGGGCUUCCUGAUGGUGCUGUGGCGAUGGCGGUGGGGUGAGUGUGGCGACGGCGGCGUGGCGACUGGGAGAGGACAACGCCUGGGGUGACAACAGUUGUGUUCUCGGCCUCUGGCACGCGGGAGAAAAAGGUGAAGAAAGGGAUUCAAGCCUUCAAAGGUAUGGGGUGGAAUCUGUUAUCUGUAUUCUGUACCCAAGUCUAAAAACCCUUACCCAAACGGUGUCGUUUUGGGUUUGGGUGGGUUUUUUUUUUUUUUUUAAAAAAGGGCAGAAAGGCGCCUUGAGGCGCGCCUCCGCCACCUCGGCGUCUCCGGCGAAGCAUUUCGCCUACUUCAGCAAAACAGGGGCGUUUGCCUCACCGCCCAGCCUCAAGGGCGCCCUAGGCGCGCCCCGAGGUGAGUUCUUUACAACAUUGCUCAAUAUAGGCCAACAAUUAAUUCCUCACCAAAAACAAGACGAUAAACAACAUAUUUCAUACUUAACAUAAAAAUCAGUUCAUAAACUCAUAAGGCAUGCAUUUUAUUUAUGCAAUUAAACUAGGAAAUUAUGCAAAUUUUAGAAAGGGUCCACUCAAAGAUACUCCUUAGCAGUAGAGUUGUACGGAUAAGGAUUACAAAUUCCCUCACUAGCAACUUCACCUAAGCACAAAAAUAUAACAAAUAAAUAAAAGGAUUUUCUAAAGGAUUUGGGUUGAAUGGGUUAAUGUCUAAUGGGUUUAGGUAAAGGGUUUUGGUUUUGGAUAGGAAUAAAUGGGUGGUUUGGGCUUAAACCCAAACCCACACUCACACACAUGCACAGUCACACACACUCACUGUACACACACACGGGGCCUGCACACACCCACUGUGCAGCCCAAAACACAUCUCACACACAUACACACUUACACACGCACACUACACAAACAUACACACAUGCACAUCAUGCAUACGCAUGCACGGCAUGCACACACACACACGGUACACACACACACACAUGUAGUCCACAUACACAUACACACACACUCACGCACUGCACAGCCCAAAGGCCUCACACACAAGGUUGGGCCUCAAACCCUCAGUAAAUAAUAAAGGCCCAAAACUUUGUGGCCUUUAAAACAAAUAAUAUAAAUUAAAAUUAAGAAAUGGGCUGUGUUUUGUCUACGGGCCUAAAGCCCGUAGGUGUCCUAAGCGGCCUGAAGGGCCUGCGUGCUACUCGAAGGAGAAAGCCGGAGCUGCUACAGCUCCGGCCGACGGUUUUCUAGCAAACUAGGGUUCAAACUAAACACCAAAAUGAAGAGGGAAGAGAGUAGAGUAUUUCCAUACCCUUUCUUUGCCGUGAAACGGCCGUGAGUGCUCUGAAAAACUCGUGAAGGUUACGGGUUCGCCGGAAAAUAUGGGUGAGUUUCCCCCGUGUCGUUCCCGUCCUCAAAACCUUGGAAGAACAACAUAGUUUUCAUCACACAACGUCUAGCAACCAAAAUAGUAAAUUAAAAAGGUAAACAAACUUACCUAGCCUGAAAAGAAUGGAGGGAUCCGUCGGAGGUCCCUUCUCUGAGUUCCUCGACCUUACUGCGACGGAGAAUGAGAGACACGGUGCAAGGGAGAUGAUGAUGAAGAUGGUCUAAAUAGAGUUUCAUGCAGGAUGCUUGGCAGGUCACGGUGCAGGGAGUGAAGGGAGAGAAGAGAGAUCCGGUGAGAAAGAGAGAGAUGUCUGAGAUUGGAAAGUGUUUAGGGAAGAGAGGGAAGAGAACAGAGUCAGAGAGCUGCCACAUGGUAGUUUAGGAACAAUAGAGAAUCUAGAUCAACGACUAAGAUUAAAAGAGAAUAAAGGAUUAAAUUGAUAAUUUUAAAAAUGUUCUAGGGGAACAUAGAAAUAAAAUGGAAAUAUGGGGGUGGUUGUAACAUUCCUUGCAUACAUGGUUGCUCGGCCAUCUAUUAUGCAAGGAAACAGCUUGAGGAAUUUGUUUCCUCUUGGUACAAGAAGGAGAAGUACUUUGAAGCUUAUGAAAACUUGAUUCAACCCGUCCAAGACAUGAAAUAUUGGGAGUCAUAUGAAAACAAAUGCAUUCUUCCUCCAACUUUUAAAAGGCAGCCUAGGAGACCAAAAAAGAAGAGAAUAGGGAGGGUGAUGAAAUGAAUUCAAGUUAAGCAAGAUAGGGCAAAAAAGUGUGAAGUGUAGUAUUUGCAAGGGCUUGGGACACAACAAGGCCGGAUGCCCAACCACUCAUCCUCUUCUAACGGCUAGAAAAUGAAGAAAAAAAAAAGAGGUAUAAUUUUGAUAUUUUUUGUUGAUUUUUCAUUUCUUAAGUGAAUUUGUUAUUUGUGAAGUGUAGAAUAUGUGAGUGCUAAUGUUUUAUGGGUUCAUUACUUAGGCCUCAACAUUUAAGCCAUCACAACCCUCUCAGUCAUCACAACCAUGCACUCAGGAAGCUCUACAACCUUCAUCUCAACCAACUCAAGCCUCUCAAACCACUUCAAAGUCUACUGCAAGAAGUCAAAAAAUGAGGAGAAAUGUUCCAUGAUGUUGCUUUGAUGCUUUAGGUUGUUUAAGGGUUCAUUUUGUUAUAGUUGAAUAUGCCCUUAGUUUUUUUGGAAACAACUUUCGGAUAGAUCUUUAGUGUUUUGGACAGAUCUUUGGUGUUUUUGGUACUCUUAUUUUGGUUUAGUUGUGUACUUAUAUUUUGGAAGAACACCUUGACCCAAUAGUUGUUAAAGUUGUGGUAUUUUGAUACUUUCCUAUGAAUUGAAGGGUGUACAACUUGGAAUAUUGAACUUUGUUGUGAACCCUUGAAACUUUGUUGUGAACUUUGUUGGUAGUUUGUAGUUUAAAUGAAUUUGCAGAUUUAGAAUUGAAAGUUUGUUUGGAAUUGAAUUUGCAGAUUUGGAAUAGACAGUUGUGGUUUUUUCCCUAUUUUAUUUGAUUUUUUUUUCAAAAAAUUUUGGCAAGAAAAAAGGAAGGGCAGUACAUAGUUAUGGGUUAAAAAUUUGGGCGGGAAUUUUUUUUUAAUUUUUAAUUUCCACGUGGACCCCUUAAUGACACAUGGCGCACAGUCAUUGUCCACAUGUGCGCCACAUCAUAAGUUAACGGGAGACUUAACAGCCAGACUAACAGAUGUAUGAGACUGUCCCAAAAUUAACACUUUAGGUAUGACCUUGGGAUGAAAAAAACUUCAUGUACCAAAUGUUGAAAACCACGAAACUUGAGGGUAGUAAACUGAGAUUUACUCUAAAUUUUAAUGAAAAAUCCUUCAAAUAAAAGUGACAAAAGAACUUAAAUUUUAAUGAAAAAGACAUAGUUUUAAUAUUAAAAAAUUAUAAAAAAAACUGACAUUCGGGAUCCGCACGUCCUCAUACAUAUUAUUUAUGAAACUUACUUUACUAUUUAUGAAACUUAACGCACUACACUAUUUAAGAAAUUUACUACACUGUUUAUAAAACUUACUACAUUGUUUAUGAAACUUAACCGUACUACAUUGUUUAUGAAACUUAACGGUACUACACUGUUUAUGAAACUUGACGGUCGUACACUAUUUAUGAAACUUAACGGUACUACACUAUUUAUGAAACUUAAUGCGCGCUGGGCACACAUGUUUAUGUUUUAUGUUUUUUUCUUUUUGUCCUUAUCAUUAAAUAAAGUUAUUAGAUGAUUUUUGGUUAAAAUACAAAGUUUUGAAGUCUUUUUUUUUUAUUAAUUUUCCUUAAUUUUUAAAAUGGCAUCAAGAAUAGUAAAUGUAAUCUACAUGCAAUCCACAAACAUAUACUUCAUACAAUACUACUAUGCACUUAAACCACAUAAAUCCACCCUACAAAAUAGGAUAUCGCACUUACACACAUAUCAACAAUAUGUAACCCACAUAAACAACGCCGUCAGAUUGAGAGCAUAUUUGUAUUAGAAGUUCAAUUUCCACAUUGCAUGAGUCUUAAGGAUAAUUGUCAAAAACACAUUCAACAGAAGAUAUCCAAAUAGAUGUGAUAAGUCGAUUAAAAUCCCAUCAACAAACUGUAUAUGAUAAAGAUCUAACUAUGAAAAAGCAAUGUGCAAUUUGAUGCAAGGCAGAGAAAUCAAUGAAGGAGAAGAGAGAUGAGGCAACUGAUAGGAUUUUUAUCAUCUGUAAAAGUAGAGAUAAAAAUAUUUAAAAUACUUGUAAGGGUACAACGUAAUUGUAGUAUACAUGGCUCUAGCAAGACUGUUCUCCAUAAGGGAUUGAAUGAAUAAUUUAUAUCAAACCAAAUCUUAAUAAUUAUUUGAAAACAAAAUUUGUAAAAGGUUGCUUUUAUGAUCCAAAAUAUUAAAUACAAAUUUAAUUAAAAAUAAUUAAAUAAAUUGACAAAGUAAAGAAAACAAAAGAAAAUAGUUUUGAUCAAUUUAAGCAUUAGGGUACCGCCGUCACCUUAACAAUCCUAAGUAGUUCCUCCAAUUACUUAGGACUUCUCCAUGCAUAUUUUGAAGUUUAGGUUUUCCUAAAGUAUGUCUUACUUGGAACCUCCAACAUAGAACGUAUAUCUAACAUGUAACUCGUCUGUGGUGUUCAGAUUGAAUGUGAACAUGCAAAACUCAUUAAGUUUUGUGAAAAUCUUCUGAAUAACCAUGCAACCCUUAGGAUGUGGCAUUCAUCCUAAGUGAAGUUACACAUAUUAACCACAAGAAGCCUUAGUCAAUUUCAGGGACAGCCCUCCAUCAAAAUUGCAUCAAACUACUUUUCCAAGUAUUCUAAUGAUGGCCAAUCAUCAAAACAAUUAGAUAGUUUCAACCACGGUGAUUAAUAAUUCAAAACCUGCAUGCAUAAUAUUAAAAGCAAAUUGAAAAGAAACUACAUAUUCUUGUUAAGACUCGUGGUCUCGCCCUAGCAAGCAGAAAUUAGUUACGAACAAUCAUAAAACAAAAUAUUAUGAAAAACAUGAAUAGAAAACUCUUUGAAAAUAAACUUAAAUCGUCAAAAGUUCUAUAAACCGAGUUCUCUAAAGUAGUGCAUUCUCCCCUCCCUAAUGGAUAAUUAGCCUUAUUUAUAAUACUACAAAAUAAAAUCCUUAUUAGAAAAGGUCUUCUACAAACUAGGUAACAUAAUAGAAUAAGAUAACUAGGAAAUACAUUCCUAUUCCAACUUUGGGAAAUCUGCCCAGCCGCAAAACAACCACGUUUCUAGUUCAAGACUCCAAAACAGGCCCAAAUUGACUUGAAUUAAACCUUAGGACAUCCCAAACAUAAUUGCAGAAGGCCUUGAACCCAAAAGACAUCAUCUUGGACGCCAAAAAACCCAAAUAAGCCCAAAACGUCAUUAUAACAGAAGUGCACGCUGCUCCUUUAUUUCAUUGCCAUAAAUAAACAGUUAGGUAGAAAAUGUGAAACAUUGUUACAAACAAGAUAAGGAACUUGCAAACAUCCUUCAAUUUGAAUCACUCCAAAAUCCAUCCGUUCGAUCACGUUUUACUCCAGAGGAAGUCGAAUGUCCUAUAUUAAAAAUUUAAUCCAAAGUAUCAAAAUUUUCACAAAAUAACCAAUAAAUUAAUACUAAGAUAAGGUCAAAACAUAUAACACAAUAUCGAAUCAUCUGCAACCUUCUACCAUCCACAUUAAUAAUAGUCGUUGUAGCAUUUGACAGUUCGAGUAAGGUUUUUUUAAUUUUUUUUUCAAUGACUUUUAGAAUAAGGUUAAUAGCACAACAGUAUACCUUGAUCUCCUAUUCGAACAAUGUAACGGGCAAAUAAAUGAAAUAUACGCUGAAUGAUUUGAAAGUAAAGGUUAUCAUCAUUUUUUUCCAGAAAUUAUGCUAAACUUUUAAAUCAUUGACAAUUAUAUCAUGUCCUCAUAUAAGUUAGAGGCAUUCACAAUAAGCUAACUCCAAAGGUAUCUCCAUAGGAACCUUUAUAAAUAUAUGGAAUCUCACCAGAAAUAAAAUAAAUAGCAAGGAAAUCUAUAAGAAGCUGUAUGCUUUCCGUAGUGAAUAUUUUUUUUUGUACAACCGGUAAAUAUUAUUACCACAGAAAUUUUACACAACAAAGGCCCACACCAUAUAUACAAAGCAAAAGUUGACCUUACAAACUAUACACCAAGGGCACGUUUGUUUGGCUUCACCAACCUGGACUGUACAGGACUAAUUUUUAGUGUAAUCCUCUGUUUGUUGGCUGCCAAGACUAAGUUUAAUGGUAUUAAGUGGGACUCGCUUUCACUAACUCCUUCAUUAAGUGGUCCAAGCGAGACCUCCCAAAUACGAGCGGACUAGUUAAGACCAUCGUCGUCCUCCUGCUCGCUCGCUCUUUGUGUUCGUCCUACUCGCCCUACUCGUCAUGCUUGUCUAGAUCGUCGUGAUCGCUCGACUAACUACAUCGGCCACGCUCGCUCGCUCGAGCAGGCUAAGAAAUCGUCAGUCUCUCUCUCACUCGUCAUUUACAAAUUUCAUUUGUUGUUUUGAUUAUGUGAAAUCUGGAUUGCUUUGAUUUUGUGAAAUCUGGGUUGGUCUUAUGCUUUGAAAUUGCUUGUUCUUCAAUGAUUUUUGCUUCUGGGUAUUUUAUGAUGUAGUUGUACGGAUUUGAUUUCUGCUUCUGUGAAAUUGCAAAUUCCAUUUGCUGCCACUGUAAGUUAAUUCAUUUGUGUCUCUUGAUUCAAUCUUUGACUCUUGAUACAUUGUUUAGGUGGCUUUUAACCUCCUGCAUAGAGCUACUUGAUAUUGUAUCUGUCAAUCUAUGCGAGGUCCAAGGUUUAUCUUUCUAUUUACUAAUUUAUCUUUGGGGGGAAUUUUGUCAUAAUGAGUUAGAUAGAGGUGUUCUUAGGGCUCAUUUAGCAUUAUAAUCAAUUAAUAAAUGGAUCAUAUGGAUCAUUAUUGUUCCAUAAAGUAGUUAAUUGGUUAUCAAUAUCAUCUGUAAGGAGUGAUGUCUGGAUUAAGCUUGCAGCUCUGUUCCUUUGUUUGGCAAUUUUGUAUGGGUUGGAUGUAAGCAUGAAUCCUGGAUUGUAAGAUUAUGGUGCCCUUUAACUGAAGCUUGUCAUGUAUUUGAUUGAAAUAAUAUGAAAUAAGCACAACUAGUUGCUGAUGAUGAUCCAAUGUAGUUUUUGGGACCUAAUGAGACAAUGCUCUGGAUAACUGAAACAUUAGUACUGAAAAUGAAACAUGAUUGAGAAAGUCUUAGAAAAACAUCCUACCUUUAUAUAUAGGUACGUCAGAUAGGCACACUCUUUCUUUGGCUUUAUUCUUACAGCCAAUUCUCUGUUUAGAAUUGAUGAUAUUGGAGCAUUGAUCUCCUUAACCUCCUUUCCUUCAAUGAUUGGCUAUAUUUUCUUAUGAUAUCAUAAUAGGUUUUGCAAAAGGGGUAUGGAUGAUGGGCGUGAUUGAUGAGAUUCGAAUGCCUGUUACAGAAACAAACCGAAACCCAAUAUUAGUUGACACAAGGACUCGUGUGAAGGAUACACUUACUGUUGAACCACAACGAAGAAAUGGAAGGUAUGCACCUUUAUUAGCUUCUGUUUUGGGCUGAUUUUUUGUUGCCAAGUUGCCAUUGAUGAGGAAAUGCACCAGAAUGAAGUCACACUUUAUUAUGGCAGGCUUCAAUUAAUGUGCUACAAGUACAUUUGGGAUGAUAUAGUUGCUGAUAAAUUCCCAUCAGAGAAAUUUUUCACUUUUUUUCCUUAAAUCCUCAUGGUAUCUUAUAUGAAGAAAUCAGAGAGAUGGCUGCUAACUCAAGGUUCCCAGCAGAGGUUAAGUCUCUCCAUUGAAUUAUUUGAUACAUUUAGUCUAGGAAAUCAGGAUUUUCGGGGUUUUCUAUUGUUUGAUGUUCCCAUUAUCACUAUACUUGCUUCAAAAACCAAUCACUUGAUAUUAAGGAUGCAUUUUUUUAGUAAUUUGUUUUGUUUAUUAGUUCAUAAACAAAAUUGUGUGACAUAGAUUUUUCAGAUAAUUACCACUGAUGACAUAGGUGAAAAAAUUGUUUCAUAAACAAAAUUUGUUUUGUUUAUUAGUAAUUUGUAUAGGUAAACAAUUUCUCUUGGUUGUGCAGACCCUUGAUGACAUAGUGAGAUACUACAGAAACACAUGUAGCAUGCUGCCCUCUACACAUGACCAGCUGCUAUUGAGGUGAGUAUAAAAUUUAUACACGAGAUCUUUUACAUUUGCUUGGUCACAAUAACUUUUGGGAAGAUACUGAUAUGACUAUUUUUGAGUCAGAUAUGAGUUAUAGAAAGAUCAUUCGUUACUUGGUGAAGAUGAGUUUGCAUACGACUCUGAUUGGGUCAAGAAUCAAAUACAGGGUUGUCUUGAGUUCUGGUUAGGAGAGCGAGAAGCAAGUUACACUCUUAAGGAUGAGGAAUGGAAAUGCAGGUUCUGUCAAUAUUCUUCUGUUUGCCCCGCUAGAAGUGCAGAGUCUGCAAACUAUACUAAUACACCAAGUUAGAGAAAAGCAGUAGCAUUGGUGAUGUUUCAAUCAACAUCGUCAGUAGGCCUCGUUUGGCACGCCGUAUAAAGCAUCGGAUAGGAUAAAUAAUACGGGAGUAGUUGUUUGGUGCACUCUCGUACUAAAUAAGCACCCGCUUAAUUAUCCGGCCCAUCAAAUUUUAUACGGUUGACACCGUACUAUUAAAACAGCCCAAAAGCUCGGGAUAAUUAGUCGGGGCGUUGUCCUCUCCAACUUCACGAAGCCGCCGUUAACGACUUCUCAAAGUGGGCCUUCGAGCAAUUCCUCGACGAGUUUUCCACCCUAGGCGCCACUCCUCUGCAGUCAUUCUCCGACUAAUUUCCCGUCUCGUCCGACGGAAAGCACAUAGAGGAACAAAGAAGAGAGUGAGAGAAAGACAAAAGGAGACCAGUAGCAAAAUAACAUAUUCCACAGGGAUAUAUAGAAAGGGGCGGAUGGAAGCUAAGGAAUUCGCCAACUGGAGGCGUCACUCAGCUCUUCCCCUCCUCCAAAUCGAAUUUUGUCAAUGCUUUUCCCCAACCUAAUGCCCAAAAUCAGUCAGCCCCAUUUUUCUCUCCGAUGAGUGUUCUUGGUUUGUUGAAAAAAAGGUGUCCUUCGUGAAUUUCCUUCCAAUUGUUUUUUAGGACAAAUAGAAAACAAAUUCCUUUGUGUGAAUUUUCUUGGUUUGUGGUGUGUUUUUUUGCUGGGUUGAUUUGUAGCUAAAAAAAAAGGGAAGGAUUGGGAAAAAAACGAUGAGAAUUUGAAAGGUGGGUUUUGUUGGGUUUCUUGUUGCUACCUUUGUGGUGGGGUUUAGUUCAAGGGAGCAGACGGGGAAGAAGAAUAAGGGAUAGAAAGGGAGGGAGUGAGUUUGGGGGGGGGUGCGGCGGAGAGAUCUGGAACAAGAGAGAUGAUUUCAGUUUUUUUUUUUUUAAUUUAAUUUUAAGUUUGAUUCCUUCUAUCCGAUAUAAUACCAAACACAGUAUAAAUAAUACGGUCAUUAGUCCGAUACUGCACCAAACGCCCGACUAAUUUAGUCAGUACUAUCCGAUGACUAUUUAUCCUAUCCGGCAGAAAUAGUCAGUACAGUCCGAGCUGCCAAACGAGGCCAGUGUACAAAGAAGCACAAUUCUUGGAGUUGCUUCUUUGGGGUAAUUGCUGUGUUGGUUGUGCCAUGAAUGUAUCGUAGCCGUUGUUUGAUUCAAUUGUUGUAACUUAUUCUUUGGAUGAAAUCAUUAAACAGGAGUUGUAAAUUCAAUUGUUUUGUAUUGAAAGCUACGCUCAAAGUGCAAAGGAUGUCUCUCUAUCAAAUUUAGCAAAGUCAGAUAGUGAUGUUACAAUAGUAUGUUAACAUUAGGAUGAAUGAAUAUGGUAUUAUUCAUGGAUUUUGGGAGGCUGUGAAGAAGAAAUCAAAAUUUUCUUCCUCCAAAUUUGUGGUCUGAUAAGUUUGAGUUUUUAACAAUUUUGGGUUGCUGAAUGUUUAUAGAUUUCUCAAUUAUAGAGGCUUAAAGGGAUUUUAGACCAAAAAGUGAGAAUGUUUGAUGUACUGAUUCUAAAUUCCUAAGUUGUAGGAAAGCGCUGUUUGUUUUUGCAAAUUGCAAUGCUACAAUGCACAAAAACUCAAUAUUUUCUUUCGUUUCCAAGCAAUUGUUGUUGAGUUUAAUGUAUUAUCAUUUGAUUUGACUGUGGGUAUUUUGCAGUUGAGUUGGAUGUAAUUCUAUCGUUAAAAUUUGUAAUUUUACUAUUUUUCAUUAUCCUGGUUUUUAGUCUGACACUGCACCAAACGCUUCACUAAGUUAGUCCACCUUAGUCUAUUCUAAGCCAGUCCAGCUUAGUCCCUGAAGCUAGUCCAGUCCGAGAUAAUCCGGUGCAACAAACGGGCCUAAAAAGGGCUAAGGCCCAAAAAUAAAAGUACACUGAAAGAAAACCAUAGUCUUCUGCUACAUACGCCACUGCAGCACCACCGAGCAGCAGGAACCAAGUACAACAACAAGAGCCAAAAUUCCGACCAAUUAACGCCUCAAAGAUGGGAGGAAGGAAGACCCCAUAAUCGAUCAAUGAAACCAUAUCCGAACCCAGCCACCAAGUAGAAAAAAAAAAUGAAGCUUGUGAGAUUCCCGCAAACGACACUGCCAAUAAAGGCAGACCGAGAAAAGGAGAUGGUGCAGACACCCGAGUUGAUAAGCAUACCGAAGCUCUACACACCUUCUCAAUUGACUGCGACAAAUCAUUGUUAAAAGUGACUGCAUAUCGAACUUGGGAAGAAAUUGGUGAAAGACGGAGCCAAGUCAAAGAUAGAGGAGAUCAGAUUUGUGGGGGAUGGACGAGGGACAUGAAGGUUGAGGGAUGUAUCUGAGGACAUAAUUGAGUAGGAACGAUGGCAAUAAGGGUGCAUAGGUCAUACUGAUCAGGAUGGAUAACAAAGGGAAAACAGUAACAGAAAAGAAUGAAGAGAAAAACAAAAAGGAGAAGGAAAUGCCUACUAGGUUGGCGGCUGAAUGAAAAAUCAAGAUGGGAAACCGCACACAAAAGGUGAGAAGAAGUCUCAGUUAAAGAAAGACUCUCACAAACACGGGAGAGAAGUCUGUGCAUAAACCAACAAAGAUAUCAGAUAUCAGUUGGGCAUAGAAACCUUGAUUGUACAUCUCAAAUUCCACUUUCCAGAACUUCUGUCAAUUAUGAAUGUCACCAUAAUCUGGCAUUCAGGGAAAAAGUGUACAAAUUGUCGAUGGGUUGGCGAUACCUAAGUUAGUUUCUUUGAAAAAAGUGAGUGUUUAGGGUUUUUUUGUAUAUAGAAAUGCUUAACCUUUUGGCGGAGAAGUGGGGUAUUUGUAGAGGAGGUAGCCAAUCAUAAGGGUUGAAUUUAGUGAGAAUAUUCUCUAAGAUAUUGGAAUUACUUAGUUGAUAGGGUUUAUCUUCAAUUGGGAGUGUGUUAAUAAUAGGAUUUAGGAAUAAUCCUAUCAUUAAAUAUCUUUGACUUUUUUCACGAGCAGUGGUGCUCUGAACAGUCAUCGUCUAUUACCUACAUGGCCUUGGAUGCUGAGCUGCGCAUAGAAUGCAUUGCUCAUUUAAUAAGGGCAAUCUUGUCUUUUUCAGUUGAAAGCACACAUGUCGUCUCUAAGAAUUUUGGGAUUAUUUUUUACCCUACACAAAUCAUUCUCACCACAUCCAGAAUUAGCCUUCAAAUAACUCCAUAUUACACUGACAAGCGUACUAGGAAUGACCGUAAUCCCAUCAUCCACUUUAGGAGAGUUUUUCUUAAUCAACCAUUGGGGUAUAAUAUUUAAUUAUUUAUAUGGAACAACCUCUUUUACAAAGUAAAAGUAAGCUGUCUACGUUAGACAUUCACCUCGACUUUUACAAAAUGAGAAGCCUUGUUGGGUAGAGGUGGCUAUAUUUUUUUUACUUAGCAAAGCACUCAUUUUUUAGAGGACUUGGAUUCUCUGCCCUCCAAUUUUGGUACCCUCUAUGUGCCCUCCUUUUUUUGUGGUCACGGUUAAGCCACGUUAACAUUUUAUAUUAAUAUUUCUUUUUGUUUUAUUAUUUUUAUAAAAAAACAAUAUAAAAUAUUAACGUGGCUUAACCGUGACCACACAAAACAGGAGGGCAUGGAGAAGGCACCGAAGGGCAGAGAAUCCAAGUCCUUUUUUAGAAUCGUUUGAAUAGACAUUCAACAGUUUCAAAAGAUUAAUGUCUAGGUUCAUCUUUUGGGAAAACGUCCAAUUUUUUUAUAUUAAAAUACGUCCAAAUUAGGAUUAUUUUAUUCAAUAAUUAUUUCUUUAAUGUUAAGAUUAACUAUAAAAGUUAAAUUUCUUCAGAAUUCACUCUUUAAUUAUUAUUAUUAUUAUUUUGUUAGAUCUUAUUCUUCUUCAUGCUCUAAACACCAUUCAUAGAUUUUAUUUUCAAUUUGUAUAAUCAAUCUAUAUCACAGAUUCAUUGUACUUAUCUACCAUAGAUGAGUUAUGCCACUCAAGGAGACUAGAAAAUAGUAUAAAAAGUUACAAGAGCAUCUGUAAUGAAAUAUGUAAAAUGUCUUUAAAUUGACAUGCCACCCACUUUGGCAUUCAACUUGGUAAAUUUUUAUGCACAUGCUUUUGUUGGGUUAAAUAGUGUUUGCUUUGAUAUCGUUUUUUUUUUUUACAAAUGAUACUGUUAGUGUAUUCAAUUGUUAAGUUGUUUGGAGAAAAAAAAUCAAUGAGAUCAAAUUCGCAUCAAUACUGUCAGUGUGUUAAAUCACUACACAAAUACUGUUAGUUGGCAGCCUCUAAUAGUAACAUGCAUGUAAUUAUCAUUUCUCUUGGAACAAUGAAAGAAAUUGAGUUAUUUAUUUUUAAAAAAAGGAAUUGACUCAUUUAUUUUGAAUUGACUAAUUUAUUUUUUAUUGACAUGCAUACUUCAUGGGUCAAUAGAGAGAUGGUAAGGCCAUCUCCAAUCGAACGAGGGCCAUAAGGCUUGUUUUAGUCAUCAGGCUCACCAAGAUAUUAAUAUUUUAAUUAACAGUAUAUGGCCAUAUUUGCCUUCAUCUCCCAACCGAGGGCCAAAGGGUCAUAGGCUCGUUUUAGCCUUGUCACAAAAAACCGUCUCCAACAAAUGGCCAAAGGGCCAUAGGGUCAAACAUAAUUUAUUAUUUAAAUUUAAUGUUAUUUAUUGUUGUUUCAUAUUGUUUAAUGUUGUUUCAUGUUACUUAAUUUAAUUUAAUGUUGUAUAAUGGCUUAGGAAGUUAUAGGACAAAAAUAGAAUUAAAAAAAAAUAUUAUAAAUUUUGUAAAAAAAAAGCCUACCAUUCCUAUCGGAUAUAACUGACAUGAAUAAAUGCAAUGUUGUCGGUUAUAUCUGACAGGAAUAAUGAAAAUCCAACCCCACCCAUGGCUGGUUGGCUGGCUGGAUUGAGCUAGCCGGUUGGCCCUUUAGCCCUUUCAGAUUCUGUGGGGCCCACAAGCCCUCUGGCCUAGCUCUCGGUUGGAGACGGUUUUCGGGCUAUUUUCAGCCCUCUGACCUUCUAGACCCUUCGGUUGGAGAUGGUCUAAUACCCUUUGCAGGCCAAUGGUAGACCCCACCUUGGACAUCUUUGUUUUGUCUGGAAGAUCUUGCAUCGUUCAACUAAUAAAGACUUUGGAGCGAAACCUCAUGAAAAGCAAGAGAAAAACUACGAUUUACACUUUGUAGAAAAUUCAUUGGCUUCCAUUUUUUUUCUAUACAAAUCUACAUUAUGGGAAGAGAAAAAGCUUGAACUCGAGAUGCAGUAAAAUGAAGAAAAAAAAUUUAAUUAUCAAAACAAUUCAGCGCUUACCAACAUUUUUUUAUUUUUUUAUUUUGGUGAAGGUAUAUAAAUUAAUUAAACUUGUAUUAGUUUUAUCAAUUCUUUCUUGAUUUGCUUCAUUAUUGUUAUGUUUUUGUUAAUAAUUCUUUAACCUUAAGACUUAUUUCAGCAUUCUGAAAGGAUUUGACUAGACCGAUCUAUAGAUGAGUAAUGUAACUCAACCUAAAGUGAUUACUCCGCAAGAAAAGCAAAUUCUCGCUAACAAUUCAUCAUUCCAACCCACCACGUGCAAUUAUUGAUCUCAACAUUUAAAAUUACUGAAGAAGAAAAAGAAAAAUGUUGCAACACAUUGAUUUGCAUGGGAAACUGAGAACCUAGAAACUUUGAAGGAUCAUAACUAAACAAAAAAUGGCAAACUCUUUCAUUCUUUUUCUGGUAAAUAAUAAAAAAAAAAAGAACAAUUCUAUAAGGUUGAAUAAAAAUUUGAUUAAUCAUUUGAUAUAAUUGCUAUGCUUAGUGUGUGACUCGUUGGUUUUUUUUAGGGUUGGGAUUCAAAAAAAUGGACAGCCCAUAGUACAAACUGAUAACUAUAGAACUAAUAACCAACUACUAAACACAAUCGUCCCAACGGGGAGAUUUACAAUCACAAGGUCAGUCUACAAGAAACUGGCAGAGCUUUAGCCAUUGGGCAAUCCAACCGAUUCCAACCCUCUGGACCCUUCGAUUGGAGAUGGUCUAAUACCCUUUGCAGGCCAAUGGUAGACCCCACUUCACUUGGACAUCUUUGUUUUGACUGGAAGAUCUUGAAUCGUUCAACUAAUAAAGACUUUGGAGCGAAAUGAUAGGAUUAAAAGCACACUACAAAGUAGCACACAAAUGUCCUAUUGAUUUUCCUUAUUAACACUAAGAUUUGUCAAUUGUAGCAUAUGAAAAUAAGGGUCUUUCCUGCAGAAGAUUGUUUUAUCUAACUACCUAAAAUGUCACAAAAAUUGGGUUGUUGUCCCUACUGACCAGCCACCGAAACAUAAUUAUUAGACCGACUUAUACUUAUCUAAAGUCUACAAAAUUUUAUAUGCAAAUACUAGACACACAUAGCUACACUCACACAAAUGUUUGGGAUUUUUGGAGUUGAUUUGCUAUUUAAAUUAAAUUGAACAAAAACAGGACAGAAACAAAUUUUAACUAGUUCACAAAUUAAGAAAAACGAGUUAGGGGAAUUGCUAUCCACCACCAAAUAAUCAUGCAAACAUGUUAUGUUUCAUUCAAAUUCCUUUUAUUUCCGGAUGAAGAUGCUCAAGUUGGCUCAAUGUUAGAACUCAAUCUAUUACUCUUUCUUACGUAGUAUGUUAAGAGAAUGGCGUUUUCAACUUAACUUAGUUCCUAGCAUGCAAUCUAGAAUGACGUGUUCAUAGAUUUAAUAAGAAGAAAUCAUUAAGAACGAAAAGAGUUUGAGUCAUCACAAGGCAUCGUAAGUACUAGCGUUGUCUUACUUAUCCUAGAAAUUGGUUCACAUGUUAAUCGCAAUUAACAAGUACUACUCUAGAACAUAUGUAGGUCCUCAUUCGACAAGGGCAGGCACACACAUAUUCAUAGCAUUAGAAUCCUAGAUAUGCUUACUAAGUAUGCAUCCAUAGAAAACAAAUAAAGAAUUCAUCAAUGAGACAAGUAGUGAACCAAUUUUCAUCAAUUCAUAAAAGUAAUUCAAACGAAAUGUCAUAACAAACUUGCAAUCAUAUUUGGGGCUUCAAAACAGCCCCUAACUUCUAAAAAUUUAGUUACACAUAGUUCUCAAAUUAAACCAAAAGAAAGACAUGAGUUUGAGAAGAUAAAACCGAAAAAAGAGAAUGUCAAGAUUUCCUCCUUUCUUUCCUUCCUUCCUCAACGCAGCAGCCUUGCCUUUUUUUCUUCCUUUCCUUCUUUUUUUUCUAUCUUUUUUUUCUCAAAAAAAAACUCCUAUUUUGCCGCUGCAACCUGCAGCCUUUAUGCCCAUGCUUGCUGCCCCAUUUCUGCUCCAUAACUCACCCCACUAACAGCCAUUUAGUGAUGACAAUAAGUAAGAGGAAAUGGUAAAAUAAUUGUAACUCUUUGGGCCACCUUUAUGCCAAUUACUCCCACUUAAUCCUCAUCUUUAAUUCCAUUUCAUCUGAUAUUUGAAUAGGUGUCAGCGGGCUUGUUCUUGGCUGCAUCAGUUUUGGCUGCUAGUUUUAUUGGAUUUAUUGCCUUCAAUGCAGUUACAAACUGCUCAGCGUCUUGGAAACCUUUCAGUGUUAAAAUGGACAUAACUUCUUCUAGAAAAAUGAUAUUAAAAAUACGCGAAAUUCUCCAGAAAAUAGACAUCCGUAGUUUUCCAAGAAUAUAAGGCUCAUUCUCUAAUUCAUUCUGAGCUGUUCGCAACUUAAUUCCAAAAUCAGCUGAUCAGGACAGGCAGUUUUGACAAAUUUGUUACUUAAAAUCCCACUUGUGCUAUUUUUCUUUUAUUUGCUUGACAAAUCAUACAAACCACAAAAAGAAAGUAAAUAGCUCAAAAAUAUAAGGAACUAACUAAGAAAAGACAAGUGAAUUUGAUAUAAAAUAUAUAAAAAUAUGAGCUUAUCACAAAAUCUCAUGGAAAGCAAGAGAAAAACUACGAUCUACACUUUGUUGAAAAUUCGUUGGCUUCCAUUUUUUUUCUAUACAAAUCUACAUUACGGGAAGAGAAAAAGCUUGAACUCGAGACACAGUAAAAUGAAGAAAAAAAUUUAAUUAUCAAAACAAUUCAACACUUAUCAAUAGUUUUCUUUCUAGUAGUUUAUUUAUUUCUUCAUAUCAAUCAAUGUGCAACCAACAUUUUUUUUUAAUUUUAUUUUGGUGAAGGUAUAUAAAUUAAUUAAACUUUGAUUUGUUUUUAUCAAUUCUUUCUUGAUUUGCUUCAUUAUUGUUAUGUUUUUGUUAAUAAUUUUUUAACCUUGAGACUUUUUCAGCAUUCUGGAAGGACGUGACUAGACCGAUCUAUAGAUGAGUAAUGUAACUCAACCUAAAGUGAUUAUUCCGCAAGAAAAGCAAAUUCUCGCUAACAAUUCAUCAUUCUAACCCAUCACGUGCAAUUAUUGAUGUCAACAUUUAAAAUUACUGAAGAAGAAAAAGAAAAAUGUUGCAACACAUUGAUUUGCAUGGGAAACUAAGAACCUAGAAACUUUGAAGGAUCAUAACUAAGCAAGUGUGGUAACAAUAUAUAUGUCUAUGGAAGCUAGUUAAGAACUCUGGUGUAAAAACUCGAGUAAGAUUUUUGCAUAAAAGUUUUUGUGGAAAAGUGAUGCAUAUUGGCCAACCAUUGGUUUCAAGUGAAAAACCAAGCAAUCCAACCGAUUCCAACCCUCUAGACCCUGCGGUUGGAGAUGGUCUAAUACCCUUUGCAGGCCAAUGGUAGACCCCACUUCACUUGGACAUCUUUGUUUUGACUGCAAGAUCUUGAAUCGUUCAACUAAUAAACACUUUGGAGCGAAACCUCAUGGAAAGCAAGAGAAAAACUACGAUCUACACUUUGUAGAAAAUUCGUUGGCUUCCAUUUUUUUUUUUUCUAUACAAAUCUACAUUAUGGGAAGAGAAAAAGCUUGAACUUGAGACGCAAGAAAAUGAAAAAAAAAAUUUAAUUAUCAAAACAAUUCAAGCUUAUCAAUAGUUUUCUUUCUAGUAGUUUAUUUAUUUCUUCAUAUCAAUAAAUGUGCAACCAACAUUUUUUUUUAUUUUUUAUUUUGGUGAAGGUAUAUAAAUUAAUUAAACUUUGAUUUGUUUUAUAUCAAUUCUUUCUUGAUUUGCUUCAUUAUUGUUAUGUUUUUGUUAAUAAUUUUUUUAACCUUGAGACUUAUUUUAGCAUUCUGGAAGGAUGUGACUAGACCGAUCUAUAGAUGAGUAAUGUAACUCAACCUAAAGUGAUUAUUCCGCAAGAAAAGCAAAUUCUCGCUAACAAUUCAUCAUUCCAACCCACCACGUGCAAUUAUUGAUCUCAACAUUUAAAAUUACUGAAGAAGAAAAAGAAAAAUGUGGCAACACAUUAAUUUGCAUGGGAAACUGAGAACCUAGAAACUUUGAAGGAUCAUAACUAACCAAGUAUGGUAACAAUAUAUAUGUCCAUGGAAGCUAGUUAAGAACUCUAGUGUAAAAACUUGAGUAAGAUUUUUGCAUAAAAGUUUUUGUGGAAAAGUGAUGCAUAUUGGCCAGCCAUUGGUUUCAAGUGAAAAAACCAAGCAAUCCAACCCAUUCCAACGUACCUGGACUGUACUGACGUAGUCAUACAAACACCUCAAGCUAUCGAGUACAUGAUGGUACUUAGGUACAAUGGGUACACUUCUCAUGAGUUCUUAUUUACAUACAUAAGUGUGCGCGCACAUAUCUGUCUAUAUAUCUAAUUAGAUAUGUUACUCUAAUUCAGCAAUAGCUUCUAACUGAAUUUUUAGAUUUCUUGCAGGUGUAGUUGCAUUUGUUCGUGCAGGACCUGUAGAUGCAAAAGGAUUGGGAGGCAUGGUUAAGAUUUCUCCUCCUUCCAGCAUUUGAACAACUUCUUUCAUGGAAGGACGACCCGCUGGCUGCCACUGGAUGCACCAGAGCCCUACAAUUGCGAGUUUCUUUGGAGUUUUACCAUCUCCAUCCUCCCCGAGAUGGAUUCUUAGGUCCUCUCCUUCUUCUAGAAGAUUAUAGAUCCAUUCUGGAUAGUAAAUUUCAGUUGGGAUUGCUGAGGUUGGAUCAAUAUUCUUCCUUCCCCCUACCAUCUCAAGCAGCAGCAUUCCAAAACUAUAGACGUCCGACUUAUAGGACACAUUUCCGAAGUUCCUGGAGAACACUUCAGGUGCAAUGUAGCCCAUAGUCCCUCUAGCUAUAGUCAUGGACACUAUGCUUUGAUCCUUAGAACACAACUUGGCCAAACCAAAAUCAGAAAUUUUUGGAGUGAAAUUGUCGUCUAAUAAAACAUUAUGAGGCUUGAUGUCGAAAUGGAGGAUUCGUUGAUCACAUUCCUGAUGAAGAUAAUAAAUUCCCUUGGCUACAGCAAGAGCAAUAUCUUGCAACUUGUCCCAACCAAGAAAACGAUUGUUAUUGUCUGCCGAUGAAAUGAAAUAGUGCAGUGAACCAUUGGCGAAGAACUCAUAAACGAGAGCUCCGUUAAAUCGAUCAGCACAGAAACUAACCAAACGAACCACGUUGACAUGGUGGAUACGUCCCAUCAUUCCAACUUCCUUUAUGAAAUCUUCCCCGUUUCUGUUGGAACUAUUGAGAACUUUUACAGCGACAAAGCAUUCAGAAGAAAGCUUUCCUUUGAAAACAGUUCCAUAGGCUCCUUGGCCUAACUUGUCCUGGAAUUGGUUUGUGAUCCUCUUAAUGUCCGCGUAGGAAUACCUGCUUGGUUUGUGAGCUUUGUAAUCUUCUAAAAACUUGUCAAUCUUUAAUUGGCUCUCCUUUUCUUUUCGAUUAGAACUAUAGACACGAUAGGCUGCAACAACCAGUACUAAUACAGCAAAUGAUCCCAGGGAUGCACCUGCACAUUAAUUAAACAAAUCAUCGAGUAAAUUAUAGUAUUCCCGACAUGGUCUAAAUAGACAUGAAUUCCUUGUUGCACCUGAAAGAAAAUAAUCAGUUAGACAACUCACAUGUUGCCACUAAUUUUCUUGUUGCACCUGAAAACAAAGAAUUGAAAUUAAGUAAAUAGUUUGCAGGGCUAAUUGAGCUCAUAUUCUGGAUGGAAGAAAACAAUGAAUUUCUCAUGACUGUUUGCACGCAGUUAAUUCAAAUCCAUGUCAAAUGUGUUGCAUCUAGUUAUUUGAAAUACAAAACUCAAUAUAUGUAAGUAGAAUAUAUUUCAAUAAAUAUUUUUCUAGAUAAGUAGAAUAUAUAUGUAAAACGAAAUCAACACUAAAUAUAUAUGCAGCCUUACUGGCUUUCUUCAAGUAAACGCAUUCAAUUUCUGCGUACCCGGCGGCGUACAAUUCUACAACUGUUGCCUUCCGCUUCACAUUCUGCACAAUUUGGUUUAUCCCAUUUGAAAAGAGGAUCACCAUUCGCGCCCGCACUUGGAACCGACAAAACAUCGUACAUCUUUGUACAGGACUCGAGGGCCAGCGAGUCCCAAAGAAAAUAGUCAGAUGAAAGGGCAUACACUCUGUAGCCAGGGCCACCUAUGCAGGGAACUGGUGUGUCUAAUUCUCUUUCAACAGGACAGUGGAAUAAGGUAUAGUUUCUGGUAAAAAAGGGGAGGAAGUAGAAUUGAGAGGCUGUCAAUGGCAUGUUGAUGUUGUCAACUUCUAAAGGCUUUAGUAGCAGGCAAUUAUACGGUUUAUGGACUUGGACUUCCUGAUUUUUGUAAUCUAUGCGUUUCACCAAGAAUUUCAUCACUACCACUCGGUGCUCCUGUCCGCCGUCACCCUCAUUCGCAUGGCAAUCAGUUGGCCGACCACAGUGAUGUCUGCGGUGAAACGGGAAAUGGAUAGCCUUGCCAUGAUUGCCGCAUUCGGACUCCGUGCACGUAUACGCAUUUUGGGUUGCUCUGAGAAUUGUAAACAAAGCAAUUAAGAAUAUGCGAGGCCAAGAGAUAUCGAGCUCUUGCUGCUGCAUUUCUGAGGUUUUUCCCAUGGAUUUCUUCUAAGCAAUGGUAGGUCUAUGUAAAUAGAGAGUAUUUUUUAUUAAGUUCAGCUUCACGGAAGAUGUUCUUACAAAAACUAACAACCAAAGAUUCAAUUAAUUACACAAGAAUUACUCGGAAAGCAAGCACAACUGCAGUUUCAUCGAAGGUGCUCUUACAAAAACUAAUUAUUGUUCAACACAAAAGACUUUGUAGAGCACUUGACCAUAAAAAAGCAAUUGAUCGAUCGGGUCUCAAUCAAAGACUCAUUCACAAUUAAUUAUUGUUGUGUCCUGUCCUGUCCUCUGUGUGGUUCCAUUCACGGUUACCUCAAGGACCGCGUCUAAAAAAUGCGACUUUAUAUGGAAUUUAUGUCACCUUAUAUUUUUGCACAUUACUUUAUAAUAUUAGCACGAAAAUUAGCAUUAAAUUGUAAACGAGCAGAGAAUCUAUGAAGAGUUUCAUUUCGAGAGAGUCUCAUUAGACCAUCUCCAAAGGAGAUGUAAAAAAUGUCACUAGACAUAUAAUAGUAACAAAUGACGUACCAGUUACUCCAACCGAGAUAUCAAAGCUAAAAUGGAAAAUAUGGCUAGCUGUAGACAAAGAUAUGUCAAAUUUGAAGUUGCCUUCAAAUAUGGUUUUUGUUAUUUUCAAAGGCAUUCUUCUUGUCUCACCUUUUUUUUUUUUUAGUACAUCGAUACUUUUACACUAGGGAGAUGAGGAGUUCGGUUAAGCCACACAAUGGGCAGCCUAAUUUGGUAUCGAAUUCGUCAUCCACGAGAUUCUAAGACUUCUCACUUCUAAGUAAAGAGGAAUACCACAAAACCGUAAUACUGAAUAGCUACUUGUCUUACCUUAAAUGUUAGCAUAUUUAAAUAUUAUUUUAUUAUUUUAAACCGAUAACAACUCAACUUUCAUUAUUUUUGUUUAAAAAAACAUAAAUGAAGUAAUAAAUUUUGGCAUAUUAGGUGGAAGAAAAAUAUUAACAAUAUGUCAAAUUAUCAAGUCAACCAUCAAAUUAAAAUUUAAUAUUUUAAAUUUGACAUUUUUUUUUGAGAAAUGCUUUCUCAUUAUUUAUUGUUUUGGUAAAAUACCUAGUUCCACAGCGGAAAUUACCUUUUCUGUUGUAAAAUCGAUGGUGUGUGCAGUGGAAUAAACAAAUAAGACACAAUAUUUACGAGGUUCCUCUACAGUCAGUGUGACUGGAGUACGUCCUCGGGGCAGCAGCAAUGCUUUUAUUUAUAAUCUGAAGUAAUAAGAUUACAAAGAUAACUCCCCUCUCUCUUUUCUCCCUUUCUGCCGUGAGCCUUGUGGCUUCUCACUUCUUCCUCUCUUCUUCCUUUUAUCACCACAUUUUAAACACUUGUAAUGCUCUAUUUAUAGAGCAAACAUUUUGAAAGCAAACAAAACACUAUUAAACUUUUGAAAGGUUUACUAUAUGCAUGUGGGCAUACAUACCCACUAUUUACAACACUCCCCCUUGGAUACCCACAUAAGUCUUUAAUUAACUUGUUAAAAUCUUGAUCUGUUUUUAAUGCUCCCCUUGAUAAGUAUCUCCCCCUAAUUUCAAAUCAUUUAGGCUGAUCGUUGAUCAUUCUGUUUCAGUCUCUUAGUAAGAAGAGUUGCCGAAAGAGGUGCUUUACUUGUUGUUAACUUUCCACGGGCUUGUUCUAGAACUAGGCUGGAGGGUCUUCUACUAGACUUCCUACAAAGGUCUGAAUUUACUUCUUUUAUCUGGAGCUAAAUUUAAUUCAAGGGUGGUGGACACUUGAUCUUGAAUCAAACUUGUGAUUUCUUCAAGGACCUUCGAGACUUGAUCUUGAAUGAAGUUGUACCGUGGGGAGCUUCACAUGGCAAGUGAUCUUCGGCUUUGUCGGGGAUGAAUCAGCACAUGUUUAUUGCGCUUGUCUCCACAUACUUCAAUGUAUCAUUUUCACUUGCCUUACUUGUUCCCCUUGCUUAAGUAGUAUUUUCCCUGGUUUUCCCCAUGCAUGUGUGGCAUAUUCUCCUAUAGUAUUUGCUCUCUGAUGCAGGAGUGGAAUGCAACCCUUACAUUUGGAUGGUUCAUCACUUCUUGGUGACUGGAGACCCAACUCCAACAACAGUUGAAGAUGACUACUCGAGAGCAAUACUAGGUAAGCAAUCAGGAAAGGUUACAGGCAGUCAGUUCCUUACCGGAAGUUUGAAUGGAGGUUCCGACAUAUUGCUUUCUUUAUCCUUGUCUUUGCAGGUAAGAACAAGGACAAAGGAAAGGACAGGGAGAUUGCAUGAUAUGAGAUACUUUUGCUCUCAUCCCUGAUGAUAUGAGAUAUUCUUGCUCUGGUGUGACUUGUUUUAAAGAGGUAUUCUCGGAGAGGAAGAAAAUUGAGUAUUUCGAGAUGCUGUGUUGAAAAUGUAUUCUCGGAGAUGAGGAAGAGUUGGACAUUCUUGCAAGUCUGCCUUGUUAUGGAGAACGGAGGUCAACAUAUAUAGAGAUUUCCCCAAUAGCAGGUAGUGGUGUGGAUGUGGCUUUGUCAUCCACGCUUGUUGGCAACAUUGUUCUAGUUGGAAUAGUAAGAUUUACACGUUUUCAACUUUGUCAAAGAUCUUUGACAAAGUUGCACGCGAUAUCAAAAAAGGCUGAGAUUGCAUUUGAAAAUGCCAACGAACUUUAUUCAGGAAAAUCUGGUUUUUGAAAUUCGGAAAGUGGUGCCUCUUCGAUCUCUGAACAAGUGGCUCUGCUACCUCUUCUUUUAUAAAGACAUCAAUUGUGUUCAAGAGUAUAAAGUUGCUGCCUGUAGAAAUUUUCCCCUUCUUGCACUUCUGAAAUUUUAUUUGACCUCAUUUUUCCUUCAUCAUUUCUGAAAAUGACUUGCCCAUCUAACAUUUGCUUAGAUUUGAGUCUUAGGAGUGAUACGGACGAGCAUCGUCAAGAUAAUAUAUGGCGUCCGUCCUUCUUAUCUUCUAAUGGUCCUCUUAUAAUUGGGGACUCUGUGGUGAAAAAUAGCAUAACCGUUAUUGUGGUAGCUAGGAAUCUUCUCACUCCAAAGGAUAACAGAAUCCUUUUAAAACGGUCUAAUGAGUUGGCCGUUCAAGACUCCUUGGCUCUCAGUGUUCAGUGUGCUGGCUUUGUUUCCAAUAUGGGGCAACGCCUACUUGCUCAAACUCACCAAGUUGAAUCAUUGAUGGCUGAGGUGGCAAGUCUUAAACAAGAGAUCUGAGGGCUCAAGCAUGAGAAUAGAGUGUUACACGUGCUUGCAAAUAAUUACUCGACGAACAUGAAAAGAAAGCUAGACUAGCUGCAAGAAUCCGAAAGUCGGAUUCAAAGUGAUCACCAGAGGUUCGUUGCUAGAUUCUAAAAGCAACUGAUGCAUUCCCCUUCUGGUGUUUUGCCAAGUACUGGGGUGCCACAUGAUCAAUCUCUAAUGCCUUCUCCUUCUAGGGUACUUUCGAGUAUUGAGGCUUCACAUAAGCAACCUUUGUGAAUGCUUCAUCCUGGUUGUUUGUUUUAACUCAUGUGUAUGUAUAUAUCUGUAAUUUCUCGGAGAUAUUAAUAGAUAAGCUUUAUUUCAUUCAGUGUAUUGUGCUAAAUACAAUAAAGCAUAUACUUCACCAAGAUGUGGUACUUCUGGACCAAAUAUCAAUUUAUCUUUACCCUCACGAAGAUAAAUGAUCUUUCUUAGUGUCUACAUCAUUUGAGUAUUCAACUCAUAAUCUUCAAUCCAUGGUUCUUUUAAUAUUAUAAACAUCAUGGAUAAGAUUCGUGUUGGUAAAUUGUUCGAUCUGCAGUCCGAGACAAUAUUUCUCUCAACACUUUAUAAUCUUUCUUGACUCUUUAGGAGUCUCAAUUUAAUAUCAUCAACUCUUCAGGAAUUCUAAUUUAAUGUCAUUAACUUUUGCAAGAGAUUUUAGUAUGUUGCAACAAUAUCAUAAUGAUAGUACUCACUAAGGAAAUUUAUAUCAUCCAUUAGUAUUGAGUACAUAAUUCAUGUUUUACCCUUCCGGGGCUUACUUCAAGCAAUUUGAAUCAUUCAAGGAUUUUCUACACUUCAUGACAUAUUUUUCUUUGGAAUUUGUACAAAGCAACUUGCUCCCAUGUAUAAUUGGGGGAUUUACUUAUAGAGAUAUGAUGUGGCUGACUCACAACCCUUCGU
rnacentral:lncRNA from 1 species